rnacentral:lncRNA from 1 species
CAUCCCUCCUUCAGUAGAUAGCGAUCGAGAGGAAGGAACUGAUCAGGCAGCACGAGCAUAGGACCGUAGCAGGGAUUGGAAAUUUACCUCGUGAUGAAGGUAGGGGAAAACCAUGAUGCCUCCAUAAACAGGAGAGUUCUGCAGAUAGGGAAGAACAUAAUAAACUAGCACAUUAGGUGGGAUGUAACCGCCCUCAGGUGCGAUAUCUUUUGAGAUAGGUAUUCCCAGGAACAAUAGAUUAACGCCUGGAUAAUCAGACCAAUUGUCCCAGCUCCGGAAGAGGAGACUGGUAUCGUUUGGAGGCUUAAACUGACAAGAUGGGUUGUCGAAAAAUUCCACCCGCACCUGAUCAACGACACCAGUUCUGAUAGUUGUGUCAAGAGCAGGGUCAGGAAUAGGACAUUCCGCAGCUACGGCUAAGAUGACAUUUGGGUAUCCCUUAAGUGCCCGAGCAAGAUCAUCCAAGUAAGUCGUGUUUCCGCUGUGGAUGUGAAGCUCUACGCCAUCUAAAACAGCUGUGCCGAAUGGACGGUCGCUUGAUUCACCGCCUAAGUAAGUGUUCCAGACAAAGGCUGCCACUUCUUGCGCAUCUUCGACGGAAGAAAGCCUCGGUUGUCCUGCGAGAGAAAUAAACACUUUGGUCUGAUGUUUCUGGCAAGAUUCUAUGUCUGAUGAGCUCGGCAAAGGAUGAAUUAUGUUCAAUUCAGGCAUCUGGCCGCUGCCAAAAUCUUCCAGAAAGGCAAUAUUCACGUCGGUAGCGAAUUCUCGCCUGCAGAACUCAGCCAAACUUGAUGGUUCUUUAUGGCCUCGGCCCCAGUAUUGGACAAUUCCGGCAGCUUCGGAGGACCCAAUCAGAGAAGCAAUCAACAGGAAUGUUAUUGCUGAGAACAGUGGUUGCAAAGAGGCAGCCAUUUUUUUUCUCUUUCUUUUCAGUGAUUUUUGCAGCUUUGCUUUGGUGAGUUCACUUGCACAAUGACUGACCAUUUUAUAGAUGAGUUUAUCUCAAGUGGAUGUUCAGCAUCUAGAAUAUCCAAACAUCCGUACAACAAAACGUGAAUGGCACGAUUUCUCAUUUCUGCUCUCAAAAAGGUGAAUGGUAUUAUUUUUGUGUUUCAAUAUUGCUAGAGACUACCGUUGUGCUCGCCUAACCUCAUCCACAACUGGACGAAGAAAGAUCUUUUUCUUUCUUUUUUUUUUCUUUUGGGACAUUACAUGGCAGCUAGGGGGGGGGGGAGUGGAUCCUUGAGAUUAAUGGGAAUUGAAUCAUCAUUGAAUUAGACGAGUGGUCCAAACAUCCUCUAAAUUUUAGAAGAAAUUGCAUAUCAAAUGAUAAUUGAUGAAAGAUAAAAUUCGAACCUCGAUAAGAGAAAACUAGGAGUCUUGUUUGAAAUGUAAAAUUUUCAUGAACAUUCUUGAAGUAAAAAGAGUGCUCAAGUAGCCUACGAAAUCCUUCAACUAUGGUACAAUAAAGUGAAAUGGGUGCCUUUCAAUGUGCAAUAAUGGUAGGGGCAACUAUUCUUCUAACUGCUGCUUCAAAUGCAAUUUUUAAUUUACACUUUUUACCAUCUCUCUAUAUCUUUAAAAAUUAAAGUAACCUGCACAACAUGCCCUUACUAUGUGCACAAAUAUUCAUACCGAUGUGCAAAACUUUGGAAUGGUCCUAGUUGUAUAUAUUAGUAAUAGUAGAAAUGUAAAGUUCAAUACUUCCACCUCAAAAGUAACUGCAAAAUAUGUCAGUUGGAAUGAUCCCAUUUAAAGUUCAGAUCACCCCUUAUUUAAUUAUGUUAAGUUCUUAAUAUUUUCCCAUUCAAUCCUUCAUUCAACAGCGGUGAUGGUGCUGUGACGUUUGGUCUUAAGCAAGAAAAUUUUUUUCCUCGCCCUCAGUGUGAAUGUGACUCUCAUAUAUAAAUAAUCUCAUAGCAAAACAUGUUCUUACUGAUCGCAGAAGUGAAGCUUGUACACAGGAAUGUAUAGAUUCCAGUUACAUCCAACUAAUCACUGUUUAAGCAUACGAAUUAGCCAUCACGGGCUAAGACACAGAGGCAAUUCCAGUUGGUUCUAGAUAAAGGGAUCUUCCUCUAACCUGCUGUCACAUCCUUUACAGGAGCCAAGACAGCAGGAACUAUGUCCACAGCCGAGAUAUGUCUCUGCUGAAACAUAGCCAAAUUCCUUGCUGUCCAUAGCUAGUAUAGGCUCAAAACCCUCUUCUCUUUCUUUGCUUCUUAAAUUCCACCCUUCAAUCCUAUGCUACUCAUCCUAUUUUUUAAGAAUUUUAAUUUAUUUAUUUUUUAAAAAAAUUGAUUCAUGUCUUCUGUUUGGAUCCAUGUCUUUGCUGCUUUUAAUUCCUUAAUUUAACGUAGCCCCAAACACGGCAUAUAAUAGUCACUCUCUUAAUAAAUGCAAUUAAUUAAUCAUACCAAAUAUAACGUUUGGAUUAGGUAUUGUAGCACACCUUAGUUUUAUUCUGUUCCCUAUUUUACUUAGUUUCAAACAUGCCCUAUAAUAAUCAACCCUCUAAUGAUGCAAUUAAAUAAAUAUACCAAAAAUAUCUAUACAUAUUUGAAACUAAACAUAAUUGUAUCCAUAACAAUCAAUAUAAAAAAUUAACUAAAAAACAAUCUUUGACUAACAUAAACUAAUAAUCUAAGUUCUUGUCCUCCAAAGAAAUAACAAUAUUCCAAAUCAUAUAAGUUGAACAGCUUAGCAAAUUAGCAAAAUUGACUAACAAACACAACACAAGGUUACAAAAUAUUCAACAUUUCUGUAUUCUUUUUCUAACUAAAAUUUACAAAUCAUACCCAAAAAAAGAACUAAUCUAAGUUCCUAUCCUCUAAAGAUAUAACAAGAUUCCAAAUCAUAUAGUUGAACAAUUUACCGAAUUAGCAAAAUUGACUAAAAAAAUACAAAAAGAGAACAACAAAAUUUUCAAUAUAUUUUGUAGUGCUUUCCUAAAUAAAAUUUAAAAAUCAUACCCAAAACAUAAAAAAAAAUGAAAUAUACUUAUCAGAUACUUCAAUUAUUAGAAUCAUCAUGCACAGAAAAUAAAAAAAAAUAGCUCUAAAUUUCAGCCCAGACCUAGAUCUAAAAUUGGACCUGAAUUAUAUAUAAUCGGACAUUAUUCAUGCUAUUAGAAUUGAUAGAUUUUGUUCGAGCAUAAAAAUGAAAUAUAAUAUUUUUACCUAUUCUUUUGUUACACAAUCAAAAUUAAAAUUAUGUUAUAGUUAUGACUAAAAGAAAUGGAGAAGUAUAUUUUGCAACUACUUAAACUUUUUAUUUAAACUAAAGACAUAUUGAAACUAGGAAAAUUAGUUUAGAAAAGAUAAUAUGAAAAUAAUGCACAAAAUUUGGCUCUAUAGAUGUAGCAUCUACAGAAAGGACGAUUUGCAUUUAGGGGUUGCGGGGAUAUGGAAAAGUAGCAUGGAAUGGGGUUGAUGCAAGGUAGAGUAUGAGGACAAGGGAAGAAGGAAGUAGGAAAGUGGUGAUGUGGGGGGUCGUAGGAAAAGUUAAAGGAAGCUAAAUUUACGCAAUGAUACUAAACUACUUAAAGUUUGAAAUUCCAAUUGAAAAUAUUAAUAUUAUGAAAAUUAGUUUAGGAACGACAAUUCACAAAAAUUACACAAAGUAUGGCUCCAUUUUGAUGGGUUACUUUUAGAAAACUUUCAUAAUGGGAAUAUUCUUUUAAAAUCUUUAUAUGCAGUAUUUUUUGGGUCUUUUUUGAAAAUUUUUGGUAUGUUUUCAUUGAUGGCAUUGAGUAUACUUAAAAAUGGUAGGUAAGUAAUAAAAUGAGUCUCGGGAAUAGAAAAAGAUAGUUGGCAAUGGGAGUGUAGGUAGCAAUUGGUAAAGAUUUAAGUUGACUAAGUUUACUUAACAAUAUUAAAUUUACUAUGAAUUAAUCCUAUAUACACUGAUAGUGUAUACGCUAUCAUUAUUAGAUAAAUGAUAUAUGUGCAAAAUUUGAAUUUAAAAUUCAAAAUUUACUCAUAUGUCAUCCAUUCAAUCGUGAUAGUGUAUAUAAAAUUUAUUCAUUUAAGUUAUAGAAAUAUUAGAUUUACAUUUUAUUAUCACUUUAUGAGAUUAAAUUUACUUAACAAUAAAAUUUACUUAACGAUAUUAGUUUCAUAUUUCUAUUUUACCUAUUAAAUUUACUUAAUAAUAUUGCUGUAAGUCCUAGAGCUGUUAAUUGAGUCGAGUAUUUGGCUGCCGAGCUCGACUCAAGUUUAAUUCAAGUCGAGCUCGACUCGAGCUCGUUAGGAAAACGAGUUUUAAAAUGUGUUCGAAUUCGAGUCGUUAAAUGUACAUGUGGCUCGACCAAUUUUUAUAUCACUCGUGUCCUCAUCAAAAUGGGUGCCCGUCAAAAAAAAGUCUCUGCGUGAUGCAGAGAACCUCUGCGUAAGUGUAGACUUUUCACAAUUCCACGUGUAUGGAAUUUUUUAGACAUCGACCGUACAGACGUGGAUUGGUUUGAUACAGUCAGGGAUUUAAAGGUCAAAUAUCAUUUGGAAUGAACGGUUCCUGUAGCUGAUAGGAGGACACGCCUCCCAAGGGAGAUUUCCUCAUACGGAAUAUCUUUCAUUUUCCAUGGCGGAUUGAGACUUCCAUCGUCCACUUGUCCCCACCUUACCCGUCGCCAAGUUUUUCCACACAACUAAUCAUUCCGAUAUCUUUAAUUGAAUGGGGAUAUCUUUUGCAUUUGUCUUUUGUGCUGUUACGUAUAAAAUAGUCGAGUUGAGUUAUUAAAGUUUUUUAUUUUAAAUGAAAGUUUUAAUUGUGCUGUGUAUUUCUGGAUUUUAAUAUAUGUUUUUAUUUGUCAUUAAAGCAAUAAUUCGUUAAUGAAUUAUGUUUUAUUAUGAAAAAAAAAGAGAAUAGAUACGUCAAAUAAUCUACUGAGCACCUAGUAGUAAGUAAUACAAUAAAUAUUGUUGAAGAUCUGCACUCUUGAUUGGCCUAUCUGUGUUGCAUUUCCUGACCAAACUGUAAUUGAUGGAAUUUAGAUCCGAUCAAGGAUUACUCGACAUAAAGGAGAAUAAUUGCAAGAUCAUUUGCUUAGCAAAGUAUGUGGAUCCCACUCCGUACGUUUUGUCGGCUUACUCUUGGAAAUGGACUAUUCCAUCCAACCGGCUUUUACCCGAGAGGUAAUUCUGACAUCAUUUCACAUAUUUUCUGGGAAAAUUUUUAAGUGGUUGCUUUUUUUUUUUUUUUGAUUGAAACGAUAGAAUUAAGUGGUUGUCAUUCUAUCAACAAUUUUCUAUAGACAUAGAUAAAUGAUGCUUUAUCUGAACUUUUUUUUUCCAGUAAUAAUACAUUGUAUAAUCUACUUUAUCCUAAUUUAAAAAGAAGGAAAGCCUAAAGAGGUUUGUGUUAGAGGUUAGUAGGUAUAUAAACUCAACUAAACUAAGAAAGUGUUAUGACACUACCCUUACAUUUUUUUUUACUGUCAAUAAAGUUUGAACCCUUGCCUACAGUCCAAAAGGGACUUAAGUCCAUAAGCUCAGUGGCUUGAAGCUUCAUCUGAACUUAGCUUUUGUGAAUAUUAUUCGUGUCACGUGACUGCAUUGGAUAAGCUUAUUAUCAACUGCCACUUGUACUAACUGACAAGCUCUUAUGUAGUUGAGAGAGAGCCUGAUAAAUAAAUUAAAGUGACGGUCAUGGUAAAUUUCUUCUCAUGAUCCGUGAAUGGAGUUAAUUGUUGCUGAAAUACUCUCUCCGUUCCACUUUGAUAGUUCUGUAUUUCUUUUUUAUCUAUCCCAAAUUAUAGUUCACUUUCUAAUUGAAGAAUGUAAUUGUAUUUUAAUUUUCCUAAAAUAUUCUUAUUUAAUGUAAGUAGUUGUUACUAUAAACCUAUCUCAUUUAAUGAGAGUUGAUUCUUUUUUUACCAUCAAUUUAAGUUUUCAUAAAAUUAUACCAUAUUUAAUGUGGGGGUAUUUUAGAAAAAUAGCAAUUUAAAUUUACUUUUCCAACAAAGUUAACUACAUUUUCUUAAACUGUGUGAAAAAAGAAACAGGACUAUCAAAAUGGAACGGAGGUUGCAGGAAAAAGGGGCGGGAAUGAUUGUCAACAGAACCUUUCUUGAACGGUGUAAAAGCGGUUCAACGAGUUGCGUUAAUUCGCCAUCAGCUUGCAAACCCUUAGAAUAUAAUGUUAGCUACUGUUCAUAUUGUCCCGUACUGCCAUGCUUCAUAUUGAGUCAUUACGAAUAAAAGCCCUAACGUUUCAAUGUCUGGACUAAGUAUAUAAAGUGAUAAAGUAAGAACCAAAAUCUAUCAAGCGUAUUAUCAUUCUACUAACAAGAACUGGACUUGAUUAAUGAUAAUUAUAAUGCCAUAGCUUUCAACUGGUUCCAAGUGAGAACUUACAAAAAGUAGUUCAACUCAAUGACAGCUCCUGUACUAAUACUUGUCACCAAUCCAUAAGCCCUGACGUCACAAAGAGGAAAAGUAAAAGGCAAAUAAGUAGCAACUCGAAUCCGAACUCGAGUUGAGCUCGGUCAAUAUCAAAUUCGAAUUGACCAAAUCGAACUCAAAUUUGAAAAUAUUUAAUUUGUUAGCUCGCGAGCCAACUCGAUUAUAUAAAUAUAUAUAUUAUUUUUUAUUUUAUUAGUAAAAUAUUAUAUAUAUAUCACUAAUAUUUUAUUAUUUAUUAAGAAAAAUUAUUAUUUUAUUUAUUUUUAAAAAUAAAAUAAUUUUUUUUAUUUUUUUAAGCUCGACCUUGAGUUGAAACUCGACUCGAACUUUACAUUUUGAGUUCGUUGAACUCAAAUUCGAGUUUGCGUUUCAUAAAAUUAAAUUGUGAUUCAAUUCGAUUAGGUCAAAACUCGACUCGACUUGACUUGUCCCGUUUCGUUUGCACCCGGAAGGAAGGACCUUAGUAGUGAUUCCUAUCAAUUUCUUUGAUUUAAGGUUUCAGUUCUGCCUGGGAAAAGGUGAAGAGGCACCACUAGCAUGGCUGUAGACCUAGUAGCUACAAUAAAGGCAUCAAGUUGCCCCGCCAAAAUCCGGCCAACCUCCAUCGCCAAUUAACCAAAAGAUAUUUUUAUCAUAGCUAAUAUUUGAGAAUAGGCAAUAAGGGAUAACCUAAGAUUAGUAAGUAGAUUUUUGACUAAAGGAGGAGAAGGCAUUUGGAGAGGUAGGCAUGCUUUUUUUUUUUUGUCGGUAACGGUAGAUAUCUUAUAACCUAAUCUAGGCUAAUCUAGGGGAGAGGGGUAAGGGGAGAUGGUCAAUUAAAAUCAGCCACAUAUUGUGGUAAAAUUUGAAAGAGAUAGGGAUAGAAUUCCUAACCUCCAAUAUCACCAAAGAGGGUGAUGAUCACUGGACCAAAUGACCGUGACAUUUGGAGAGGUAGCAUGCAGUUGAGCAACUUUAAGAAAAUGCUCGAGAUGAGGAAGACGAAGAGAGGCGAAAUUUCCUAGCUAGGGGAGAAUCGAUCGGGUGGCUUCAACCUUAUUGGUCCAUGAAUUUCUUUGACCCAUGGCCCUUCACGCGGUGUCUUCGUACGUCUCGCACUGGUACUAGACUACUAGGUUGUUUAUCGGCCGAUAAUUUGAUUAAAAAUUCAAUUUUUUUUUUCAAUUUUUUCAACAAUGUCAACAUCCAAUUACCGUUCAAACUUUUAUUUAGUAAUUGGAUAUUGCAAAUUGGAUUACGACCGAAUAAUUAGUAUUUCAGUAAAAUAUCCAAAGUUUUAGAUUGAUUUUCUAAUAUAUAUUAGUUAAGUAUAUUUAAUAUGUAAUUAAUAAUGUAAAAGGUUAUUAAUAUGUUCAUUAAUAUGGUUUUAAGGUCAUAUAUUUGUCUAUAAACAUAUAUUAUAACUUAUAACACUAUUGAUUGAUACAUCAAUAUGCAAUAUGAUAUAUUAAUAGGCAUGAAAUAUAUAAAAUAUUUAAUUAAAAUAUGAAAUUCGGUAACUCAGUCGGUGGUAAUCGAAAAUUCGAGAAUCGAAAUUCAAUAUCAAAUGACAAACUGUUUUGCCAAAAUUUAAAAUUGGAUCUUAAUCGGUUUUUCCAAAUUUCAUUUUACCGACAUCCGAUUUUCGAUCUAAAUUGAAUCAAUUGAUUAUUCGAUUUUUCUUUUUUUUUUUUUUUGGAAGUGCGAGCACCCUUAGCUCGCUGGUACCGGGGUAGCCAGCCAAAUUACAAUUGACCAGCUGAAUUGACAAAUCCUGAAAUCCAAUUCCAGUCUCUUUCUCGUCUUUAUAGCAGUCUAUCGCAAAAGAUUUCUCGUCUUUAUUGUUCCGUGCUUCAACCGGUAAACUUAGACGGCGAUGGGUAUCUAUUUGGGCAGGGAAACACCAUGCAUUUAGGUGUCACUGCAUGACGUGCAGGAAAAGUUAUCGUGCGGGCCAUGACUUGAACUCAUCGUGCUCACUAGCUAUUGGCUACUGCAUCAAACACGUACCCCAAAAAGGAACAAGAGAAAAAGGGUAUCCAAUGGAGCAUUUCUUUCCUUUAGUAGUUUCUAGCUAAUUACUUUUCUUUUCAUCAGCCAAAUUCAAUUAGGUGAGAUGAUUCCUCGAAACUACUGAGCCAAGCUCAGGGGCCACCCACUUUAAGUGAUUCCGAGACAGGUAAAUAAUGCGUUCGUAGUCUAGGUCAACGGUGAUUCAAUUUUUAUCGAUUUUUUUGGACUAUUUUAGAUUCCUCUCCUAAUAUAAAAUAAAUAUAAAUCUAUCAUAUCCGAAAAAAAAAAAGAGAUGCUUCCUCGAAGUUUAAUAGUAAAAAAAAGUGGACAAUAGUAGAAACCCAAAGUUUCACAAUCUUUCAUUUUUUUUGGUUCUGGGGGUUUGGCUGUAUGUUACGUGUGUCGUCGUAUCAAAAUUAUACCAUAGUGAUUUAUCAUUUUGAUCGACGGGACAAAAUGAUAUUUUAUUAGGAGAAUGUUAUAAUCAAGUAAAUAGUAGAACUCCCAUCCCUAAGUGUCUAAUUAAUACAGACACAAACGGAGGUGUGAUUGUAAUCUAGAAACUAAACCAUAUACCACAUAAGCGGAGCAAGUGGAAUCUACUAUUCACCCUCUUUUUUUUUUCAAAAACGAAAAAGAAGAAAAAAAAAACUUGUUUGUUUAAGGGUGUAAUUGUAGUUUAAUAUGAGUUUCAAUUUUUCCCCCAAAAAACUAAUUCUGUCCCUCAUGUGUAGAUCAUUGUAUUGUCAUAAAAAAAAAAUAGUUUAUUUCCUUAUCUUAUAAAUCAUAACCUAUCAAGUUUUGCAUAUUGCUGGCCAAAAUUAAUUUUUUUUUUAUUAUUUGUUGAUAUUUUAUGAAACAUUCUCUCAUAUCCAACUAUAAACAAAACAGGAGGAGGAGUUGCGGUGUUAAAAUUUUGUGCCAUCUUUUACAUUACCUUUUUUGUUCUUACACUAGGGUAAAAUGGCCUAACCAUAUUCAAAAAUUACUUUUUCUAGUUUUAUGUGGAAUUUUUAGCUUUGUUGCUAAUCAUUAUAAUUAAAGGUAACUAAUGAAAAAUAACUACUCGUAUUUUCACCAAAGAUUAUAAAAACAAAAUUUUUUUCAACAUGUAAAACUGAUUUCUAGAAAACUACUUUUUACAACUAAAAAUUAUAACUAGGUUAGGACUGAUUUUUUUGGAUCGUAAUGUAGGUAUCAAUAUCAAACUAAAUCCAAAUAAAAAUGAAUCAGUGUUUCCAUUUUAAUUUGUAUGUCACCAAGGAUUUCUCCCACAAGCACGCAAUGAUUUUCCACCAUGAUUUCAAAUUUGAAGACUUUUAAGUUGUCGUCGUGUUAAUAUCAACUUUGUAUAGUAUAGUGUAUAGUUCCUCCCUACUUCCUACAACACAGAACUACUUCCUCCCUACUUCCUCUCUACUGCUUUCUAGCUUUUCUGUCAAUAACUCUAUGAACUACUCAUUAAUGAUUUUUAAGUAUUUUUGAACCAUUGAUUAUGGUAGCUGGAUAAAUUCUUAUAGUCAUGUAAUGUUGAUAUACGUUGCAUCUCCUGGAUUAGUUUUCUACCUCCUUCACCAUUGCAAGAAGUAAUGAUUUGGCAAUUUGUAUAUUUCAGACUAGACAGACUUGACUUUAAUUUCCAUAUAUCUUUUUCUUGUUAUAAAUAUUGAACUUUAAUUUUUUUCUGAAAUUGCAAAGAGAAAACUACAUUUCUCUAUUUUUUUAAUAUUGCCACAAAAUCUGUAGAUUAUUAUUGAACAAUAUAAAAGAAAUAAAAUAAACUAACUUAAAGCUAACAUAUAUGUGCCACAAAUAAUUUUACAGCCAAGAUAGAGGUUGAUGGUAUGUGAUAAGAAGCCCUUUCCAGAUACGCCUUCCAGGAGAGAAUUGAAGUAAUGGGAACGAAGUUAAAUUGGCAUUGUAUCUACUGAUGGAACUGUUAGAAUCGCGUCACAAUCACUACCAGUAACUCAGCCUAUGAUUUGUUGUUCCUCGAAAAUUGUUAUCCAUAUUAAAGUUCGAAAAACAAUUUAACCAAAUCGUAUGGAGUACUAUUCAUCCAUUUUUUUGGUCUUUACUUUAACAGCACAACUUAGAGACAUUAUUGAGUUUCUGCAAAUUCUUUUGUCAAAAAUGGCCCAAGGAUGAUUUUUAUUUGAAAACUACAAUAUUUUUGGUCUCUUAGCUUUUCAAAUUGUCUAAAAUAAUGCUAGAUUUCUGCUCUAGAAUACUAAUUUAGUCUUUCAAUUGUCAACUAUUGCACUGAAUUUUCACUUAUUUAGGAGGUGGCUGGGGAGAGGGGAGGAGAGCGAAGAGGGAGAAGGAGGAGUGGAGAGGAGAGAGAGUUAGGGAGGAAGGGAGGGAGUAAGAAGGGGAAAAAAAAAAAGAGGACUCCGCCGGCUACCGCGAGCAGUGGGGAGGGAAGGAGGAGGAAAAUCAAUGAGGUGGAGGAUAUGAAGAGGAAAGGAAAGAAAAGAAAAAGAAAAAAGAGGAAAACUUUUACACAUUUAAAUAAGUUUUUUAUUUUAACAAAUUUUACAGUAAGAUACAGUAAAAUUAUAUACAAACAUACAAAAAAUUCAUUCGCUAAAUAGGGCCUACAUAACACACAACCUGGUAGUACCAAUCACUAUUUCAGUACACAAAUAAUCAAGAGUUAAAACACACAUGAGGCAAGCCAAGCUCCCAAGCCAAUUCGCAGCUGGUUCUAGUCAAAGGGAUCUUCCUCUAACCUGCUACCACAUCCCUCGCAGAAGCCAACACAGAGAAAGUAUGUCCAUAGCCGAGACGUGUCUAUGCUGAAACAUAGCCAAAUUCCUUGAUCUCCUUAGCUAGUAUGCCACAAUUUUUGAGAGAGAGAGAAUUAUAUUUGGAAGUGACUGAAUUCCAAGAUUACAUGCAUCUAUCAGAAACUAAUAUUGUUUUGUGGAUACGAAAUUCAAAAAUCUAAAGAAGUAGGUCAUCUUUGAAUAAUAAAAACUAAAGGGCAUCCACACUUUACAUAUGAUUUAGACUAAAUAAUAAUAAUUUGCCAUAAUCAACACGUUGGAUGAUGCAAUUGGACGUUCAAAAAGAAUCAAAGAUCAAGCGCAAACGUGUUGGUACUAUAUUAUGAAUUGGUUUAACAUUAAUUUGCCUGUAACCUCCUAUAGAACUCACCAAACUAAGCAUAAAUGCAUGGGGCCCAAGCACUAAUUAUUUGAGCAAGAUUAUUUCCCACUUUGUGUGACGACAAAAAGAAUGUGGGAAGUUCUGUAGUCAUGUGAUAUAGAUCAAGGUAGCAUCUUCCAAGGAGCACUUCCUGAGUUCCUGUGGCCGAUACAAAUACAACGUUGUUGAACUAAUCCCCAAAGGACCUCUUCGUGUUGUCGGUUUUGCCAAUGUCUCGUCUGUAUCACCUGUUUACCUCCAUUCAUGUAUAGUUGCCAUUGUGUUCGUUCUAUGCAUAUAUCCUGUUGUUUGGUUUAAGAUUCCUCAACUCGAGGUAGGAAUUGGGAAUCCCUUUUUGUUUGGAAGGCAAAUAUUUUCCAGAAAAUGUUUUCCUGAUUUUCCAUUGUUUGAUUGGGUUAUUGCUUGCGAAAAUUUUCCACAUAAAUGAACUGAAAUUAUUUUUCAUGUCCGACUUGUAAGGCUAUUCAUUCAUGCUCCCUUCUUUGCUGUUUUCUCUCUUUUUUUUUUCUCUGUCUCUGUCUUUCUUUCUCUCAGAUACACAGUGUUAGGAAAUUGGCUUAAAUUCUUUUAGGUAGAUUUCUUAUUUGGUGUGGGAAGUGACUAGUUUCCUAAUUGGAUUUAGUUACUUGAAGUAGUAGUCAAGUAAAGCCCUAUUUAGCAGAAAUUAGAUGCUAUUUCUAUAUGAGUUUAGGAAAUAGUAUUGGUUUCCAAAUUGUUAUUUGGUUUUUUGGCAGUAAUGUUCCCUAUAAAUAGGUGGGUUGGCAUACUACACACACAAGAAGACACGCAAAAGAAGACACAAGGGGCCUCAUGUAGCCUUAUACAUGGGGUGUGAGAGAGGGUUCUUGGGAGAUGAGAGAUGGUAUACAAGGGUUGGGUUUGGGUUCAAAUUGUAUUCUUGUAUAGGGUUUUUCUCUCAUAAUAAAGAACAGGUUUCUCUCCUUGGAUGUAGGCUCAAUGGUGGAGCCGAACCACGUUAAAUAUUGUGUGUCGUUUAUCUUUCAUGCUUGUGGCUUGUUUCUCAUUAAAUUGUUGUGCAUUUGAUAUCUCAAUAGUUGUUUAUUCCGCAUCUGGAUCCCAACAAGUGGUAUCAGAGCCAGGUUGCGAGACUUGACUGCUCAAGGUUCAUAGUUGGAUCCUAGUUAACUAUUGAGAUCAAGUGGAUUGAUAGUUGUCACCAAUUGAACAAUUUAAUGGGUGGUAUCCUUGUUUCAAUGGCUUGGGAAAAACCAUUGAUGGUGAAGGAUGGGAAGUCGAAAAGCAUGGAAAUGCUUGACAGUGAAUCUAAGCAGGUGAUUCAAGGGUCAAGGAAAAGGUGGAGUCCAAUGUUGAUUUUGGACGUGAAUCGGUGGAGACUUUCUCACAUAUCCAACGGUUGAUUCUUCAUCCCGGUGAAUUUUAGAUUUUGGUUAUGUUUUUUGGGUGGUGUGGCACGUGUCCCAAAGAAAUAAGGAGAUCUAAUUUCUAUGCGCCAGAAGACUCUGACAAGUACGAGUUUUUCGUUUUAGGUGGAGUCUUGAAAACCACAUGUGGCGAGACAGUCCUGAGAAUGGGAAGAAGUAUGGUGACUUUACCACUUGAUUGUCUCAAUGGUUAGGGUUAGAGCUCACAGAAGGGAAUCCCAGAUUGCAAGUGCUGAUGAGAAGAAAUCCUGCAAAGGGAGACGGUGAAUUGAGGCACCUUCUCACGAGUCAACUGGAGGUUGGACUCGGGGUAACUACACAUGUUCAUUUGCCGAUUGAAUCAAUUUGGUAUCAGGACUGUAUUGAUUCGGAUGUGUAGUUUGGUACCAUAUUAUUUGGUAGUUGAAGGCAAAUGGUUUCUAAAAGAAAUUUUCGCCAAGGUGGAGAUUUGUUAGGAAAUUGGCUUAAAUUCUUUUAGGUAGAUUUCUUAUUUGGUGUGGGAAGUGACUAGUUUCCUAAUUGGAUUUAGUUACUUGAAGUAGUAGUCAAGUAAAGCCCUAUUUAGCAGGAAUUAGAUGCUAUUUCUAUAUGAGUUUAGGAAAUAGUAUUGGUUUCCAAAUUGUUAUUUGAUUUUUUGGCAGUAAUGUUCCCUAUAAAUAGGUGGGUUGGCAUACUACACACACAAGAAGACACACAAAAGAAGACACAAGGGGCCUCAUGUAGCCUUAUACAUGGGGUGUGAGAGAGGGUUCUUGGGAGAUGAGAGAUGGUAUACAAGGGUUGGGUUUGGGUUCAAAUUGUAUUCUUGUAUAGGGUUUUUCUCUCAUAAUAAAGAACAGGUUUCUCUCCGUGGAUGUAGGCUCAAUGGUGGAGCCGAACCACGUUAAAUAUUGUGUGUCGUUUAUCUUUCAUGCUUGUGGCUUGUUUCUCAUUAAAUUGUUGUGCAUUUGAUAUCUCAAUAGUUGUUUAUUCCGCAUCUGGAUCCCAACACACAGAUCAUACGCACUUAGGGGGAGAUCUAGACUUGAAAUUGAAAGGGGCUAUAGGGAGAUCGUGAAGGAUGCUAGAGAAAGUUUUGAUGUAUGAAAAUGAAAUGAAGUUGUUAAUUUUGUGCUAACAUACUGUAAAUUUGAGGUAUGUUCACGUUCAAUGGACAUUAACUGUUACCGUUUGAAUUGCUAUUUUCUGGAACCUUUUUUUUUUAUAAAAAAUAUACUAUAGUGAUUUUGAUAUAUGUAAAAUAAAAAAAUAAUUGAAAAAUAUGAUCACGAAAAACGUAAAAAUUUUUUGAGGAAAAAUGGCUUUUCCAAACAAUUGCUGAAACUUUUUUGAGGUGUUGAUUAUGGUGGAAGAACGGUGGCUUUUAGGUAAGAGCCUGAGAUUUGGUAUGGGCUUGUGAACUAAAGGGUAUCUUAACUGCUUGAAGAAGAGUAAGUUCUGACAGUGGAUCCCUCAAGAAUUUGUCAUCCAUAAGUUAAUAAUUAUCAACCAACGUACAUAGUAGUUAACAAAAUAUACCUGUUCUUGUUCUCAGGUUUUCACUUUUCGGCAUAAGAAACCCACAAAAACACUACAAAUUUGUAGCAAACAGUACUGGGACGGAGAGUGGAUUAAUCCGGAGAAGAGAAGGGGGCGUCGGCAAUCCUGUGUUUUAAAACUCGGACCGGACUGGCCGGUUCGACUGGUCGAACCAGGAAGUCGAACUCGGAACCGGACAAGUGUUCAGUCCGAGUCAUGUUUAAAAACCAGGUAAGUAAAAAAUCGGUCAAAAUCCGGGUUUGACCGGAAAAAACCGGAUUUUCCGGUUCAAACAGUUUUUUUUUUUUAAAAUAAACUUUUUUAAUAUUAUGUUUUGACCCCUAGAUUGUUAAAAAUUAUUAAUAUACCUCAAAUAUUUCAUACUUUAUCAAUAUUUUCUUAAAGUUUGGUAUUGUUUUUCAAUUAAGUCCAUAAUUUUAAUUCUAAACUUGUUAAUGCUCAUUAAAUAAUAUAAAUUGUUAAUUGAUUGUUCUAAUUUCUUUGUAUUUUCUUGUUCAAUAUAUUUAAAUUAUCAAAUAUAUAUGAAUAUACCUUUAUUAAUAUUAACAUGUUAUUAGGUAUUUUAUAUAUAAUAUUUUAAUUUUUAAAUAAUUUUUAUUUAUGACGUCAUCCGAUUCAACCCCUAUUGAACCCGAUUGAAUCCAUUGACCCCUGACCCCUAAGUUUGAUCGAGUCGAUACCUGGUUCGGUUCUGAAAACACAGCGGCAAUCACCUGGACUUGGUUCAUAUUACACGCCCUGCUGUUUUGCUAAAUCAGUGUGUGAUGGAAUAAUCAGGCCCCUCCCUCGACAGUUUCAUCUAUGGUAGAAAGCUGACUCAUGUGUGCAUGGUGGGAAGAGCAAAGGAAAUUUGGCCAAGACAUUAUUGUGGGGCUGGGCAGGAUGCAGCUAUUAAAUGAACUACUGGAUAUCGGGGUUGAUUAUGGGUCCCAUUGUAUUUCUAGGAGAAAUAAAAUGCAAGUCCCUCAACAACUCAUGGGCACUCAUUUGCACCCAAAAAAUUUGGCAUCAACCGGGGAGCAGCUCCCCAGGCCAAAUUGGUCAAAUGCAAUAAUCCUUGGAGAUAUGUGGAAAUGAAGUCAUGUGUACUCCAAUCUUAAACUAUAAAUGCUUACCUGAUGAAAAGUUAUAACUGUUUAAAUUUAAUUAUUAGUUGACUUAGAUGAGUAAUUAUAUGCAUAAAUAAUUAAAAGAAAUUAAUUUUAUAUAAAUUUAAUUUUUACAAAAAUAAAUUUAUUAUAAAUUUAUAGCAAUUUGGCAAUUACAAUACUUAGGGUAGUUAUAUUGGCAAAAUGUGAUUAAGUAAUUAGAGCAAAAAUUAAAAGGUUUUCCCUAAGGAUAAAAUUGAAAGUCUAGAAAAUGACAUUAAAAAGCUUACACUAACUGUGAUCCCUCUAACUUUUUAUAUUGCAUAGAUAGUGGCUUUUUAACUGGAAUCAAAAUUAUAGAUGAAUAAUUAGAAACAUAAUUAACAAAGUGUUACAAAAAAAAAAAAAACCAGAAUCGUGACAUAAUUAACGUGGUAGAUUUUAAUUUAAAUUUAGAAAUUAAAUAAGUAAUCUUAUACGCAACAUGGUGACUUUCAAAUCGAUAUCAAAUUUGUAGAUGAGUAAUUAUAAAUAUAAUUAACAUAGUACACCAAGAAACUAGAAUUGAGAUUAUAGAUAAAAUAAUCACAAACAUAAAUCACAUAAUACAAAAGUUUCAGAGAUUGAACGUUUGAACUAUUGAAAUAACUAGAUAGUUACCAACUUAAGUUCUAACUCCGCAACUAGUUGUAUUGGAUAACCAAUUAUAGUAAAAAUCAAAAUUUACUCUUAAAAGUAAGUGUUGAAUUAAAAGAUUUUGUUGUGAUAAGGAUUAUCUAAUGAGAGCAAAUCCAUUGAAACAAACAAGCAACGAUAUCUAGAUAAAUGUCAAUUACAAUCUCGUAUUCAAAUGAAUAUACAUAUCCAAACAAUGCACUUAACGAUAAAGUAAAGAGGUGAGACCCAACACAUUAUUUAAAACACAAACAUUGUUUAGAGUAGUUACACUAGUUAUAUUGGCAAAAUGUAAUUACGUAGUCAGAGCAAAAAUUGGUUUUUCUUUAAGGAUAAAAUAGAAAGUUUGAAAAAUGACAUAAAAAUGUUUACACUAACUACGAUCUCUCUAACUUUAUAUGUUGAAUAGAUAGUAGCUUUUUAAUUAGAAUCAAAAUUAUAGAUGAUUUAUUAGAAACAUAAUUAACAUAGUACUUCAAGAAACUAGAAUCGUGACAUAAUUGACCUAGUAGAUUUUAAUUUAAAUUUAGAAAUUAGAUAAGUAAUCUUAUAUGUAACAUGGUGACUUUUAAAUUAAUAUCGAAUUUGUAGAUGAGUAAUCAUAAACUUAAUUAACAUAGUACUUCAAGAAACUGGAAUUGAGAUUGUAGAUAAAAUAAUCAUAAAUUUUAGAAGAAAAUACUCUCCUUUUUGAAUAAUAAAAAAUUUAGAGUAGCAAGUAUUAAUCUCUUUUCCUUGGUAAUCUUAUUAAUAUUGAAAAAUAUAUAUAAAGAUUAGGAGGGGGAGUGGGAGUGAGAGAGAGAGAGAGAGAGAGACCUAGAAUGUGUCUUAUGCACUAAUAUAAUAUUAAGUACCAAUCAUUCAUUGACUUUUCUUUUUCUUUACUUACAAUUGAUUAUUAAUUCAUUUUGCAUACUCUCAAAACAUUAAGUUUAAAAAAAUUACUCAUGGUUUGGCGAUUGCAUCGCACAUUUCAUGAAUUUUCACAAAAAAAUGAUCUACACAAAUUAUGGCAUGCAUCUAGGUAAUUAGUGUAUACACUAUCAAUUUAAUUUAGAUUAGUCUUUUUUUAUACCAUCCAUCCAAUAUUUGGGAGCAUCACUAAGUGUUGUUAAUACACAUUUUUCAUCUUUUAAAUUCCUUUUGUAUCUUACUAUUAAGAGUAUUUAAUUUUUCCUCACAUAUAUAAAAAUUAUGGUUUCUUGAGUAGUUUUGUUAAUUAAUUAUUUACUAGUUACUCGCCCUCCUUUCUGUCCCUUUCUUUUUUUUAAGCACUUCAUUUGUAAAAUUUCAAUUAAUGUUAGUAAUUAGCAAAUAAGUAAAUACCGUACAAAAAUCAUCAUAUUAUAAAAAUUCUUUUACAAAUUAAAUUUCAAAUUCAAAAACCAAUUGUCAUGAAAAAAUACAUUUUUAAAUGACCAUAAAAUUAAUUACUUCUACAUACAUAGGGAAACUUAAUGCAACAAUGGUACGAAUUUAAGUGAUUCUUUGACUUUUGUUCUUUUAUUUAUUUAUUGCUUAAGUUUAUCAAUUAUUGAUCCAUUUUUCACUCUCUUAUAAUAUUCUACUUGUUUGGAUUGUAAGUUAUUUGGAAUAUUUUUACUGUAACACUUUUUAUGACGUGAUGUAUGUGAGAUAAAAAGCUAAUUGGGAAGAUAAAAAGAUAUAUUAAAAAUUAUAAUAAUGAUGUAAGCAAAUAAAAUUGAAAAAAUAAUACUUAAUCCAAACAAACCUUAUUAAGUUUAAAAGAGUUAGCAUCUAUACCAACCAAUUUAUAUCGAUAUUGUUGUCCACUACUUCAGGUAAUAUAAACUUUGCCGGUUACCUUUGGCCCUUGUCAUCUUAGCAAUAGUUGAUCUGACUUUCCACCAUAGAAGCAACCCUACCUCAACAAUAAUGGAAUUAGCUGCCACGCACGUACGUACCUAUGCAUGAAAACUGACUUCAUAGCUUUAUAGCUGUCCCCUCCGUGAAUAUGAAUAUGAAUCAGAAUCUGAAUCAGUCACUCAGGACUUUAUUAUCUCUGAACGAACGCCCAUAAACAGCCCCUGAAACACUAAAUUCUGGCAGCUGCUCUUUGUCGUGAUGCCAAAAAUGGUCCUUGGAACAUUAAUUACGUGAAACACUACAUUCUGGCAGCUGCAGCUCUAGCUCUCUGUCGAAGAUGCCAAAAAAAAUUAUCCUGGCCUACUUAAAUCAAUUUUGAACCAAUUAAUUUGCAUCAAAUUCCAUGACUUGCAUUUUUCUCUCGAUUUUUUUAUGAAACUCUUUAGAUUUAUUCCUCUCUUUGAAUAUAAAAUAAAUUUUAUCGUGUUUGAUAAAAAAAAUUUAAAUCAAUUUUGUUUUAACUCUCUGUCUAAUCUUCAAGGAUGCCGUGUCACGACUAUCGCUGUGCUUCCUCUCUCCUCUCCGCCAUGUCUGAACUCUGAAGUCUCAACUCCUCCUUUCCUCACUUUCAGUUUCAACCACAAGUCACAAGGCUUCAACAACCUACCACUCUCAUCUCCUCCUCCUCAUCAUCAGGCCUGAGAAUUCUUCCUUUUUUUUUUUUUUUUCCCUUAUCUUCUUUGUCCUCCAGAAGCCCACUUUAAUAUAUAUUUUUUUGGUAAGUAGCCCACUUUAAUUAGUAUUAUCCUCACGAUAAGUUAGAUGUUUGAACAGACCAUAUUAUUUUGGAAUGCAUUUUUAAAUUAAAGGAAUUAAAAUUAAAUCGAUGAUCUUACAUCAAAGAGAUUUGUCCCAAAAAUAUAUAUAUAUAUAUAUGGGAUGGGGAAGUCGAUUUGGCUUAUAGCAAUAAAAUACUCCUACAAACUUGUCGGUGGUUGGUUGAAAGUUGAAAUAUCUGGCAGAUAUAAUUUGCAGAUAUGUUUGUGUGUCCUCUGAGUGAGAAAGAGCAGGAGAAGGAUGGAGAAACAAUAGGAAGCAAAGUUGGAGGGCUGGGGACUAGCUAAGAUUGGUGGAGAAGGUGAUGAUGGUGUUCGGUAGUUGGCAAGGAUUGAGUUAAAGUGCAUUGUGGAGGAAGUCUCAACCAAUUUAUCGUGCUUCCUCUUUCCUCUCCGCCAUGUCUGAAGUCUCAACUCCUCCUUUCCUCACUUUCAGUUUCAACCACAAGUCACAAGGCUUCAACAACCUACUACUCACAAGGAGGUUGAUGUUUGAACAGACCAUAUUAUUUUGGAAUGCAUUUUUAAAUUAAAGGAAUUAAAAUUAAAUCGAUGAUCUUACAUCAAAGAGAUUUGUCCCAAAAUAUAUAUAUAUAUGGGAUGGCGAAGUCGAUUUGGCUUAUAGCAAUAAAAUACUCCUAAGAUUGGUGGAGAAGGUGAUGAUGGUGUUCGGUAGUUGGCAAGGAUUGAGUUUAAGUGCAUUGUGGAGGAAGGAACGAUCAUCAAAGUUUUCCGACUCCAAAUGGUGUCGUUUAGUUUUAAAGCGAAAACCUUGGGCAGGACGUUCUGUGUCCGUCCGUCCAAAUGGGGUGAAAGUUCUCGCGGGGUAUAAGCCUCACAAAUUUUUAUUUUUAAAUAUUUUAAAAAUAUAAAAAUACACACACAGACACACACAUAUAUAUACAUGUGUGUAUGUAUAAUAUUAAAAAUACCCAAAAAGAUAAAGAAAAAUUAUAACCUUACGUGACUAAAAUAAAACCUGCUUGUGUAACUAAUGUCAUCCCAUGAACAGAAACCCAACAAACCAUUGUAAAGUUCGAUGAUUAUUUGUAUAAAAAACUUGUUGUCAUCCUGCAAACUAAUGAUUACAGUUGCGAAAAUCCUUUUCUAGGUACCUGUGAGUUUUGACUAUCAAAGCAAGUGUCUUUCUCCUAUUUCUUUAGAGUAUCCUCAAUGUGAGGCACAAAGUCUUGCGAAAACUCUUUGUAUCACUAAAUUCCAAACUGAUAUCCAUGUUUGCCAACUUAAAUUUAUAGGCUGAUCUAAGAAAAGUUUUCAGAAAUUGCAAGUUCAGUUUGAGGGUUUCAACUUCUUUUAGGCAAGUGAAGGGAAAAUCCAGUUUGGAUGUUUUUCUGAAACUUUAAAAAAAGGGAAAAAGUACUGGGAUUUUAAAUGUAUAUAUUUUUUACGCCUCAAAAAAAAAAAAACUCCUUAUCAUUACUUCCUUAUCUAUAUCCUACUUUUCCAUUCUUUUUUUCAACAAUUAAUUAUCUUCCUUUUUUCACUUUCUUAGUUAUAGCAACUUUUAAUGAAUUGUAUAUGAGCCAUUCUAUGUAUGUAAAUUGUGUUCAUGAAUCAUCAAUAUCCGUCAAUAUUUCUACAAAUUUAUUGCACAAAAUGUUUACUACAAUUUUUUAGAUCUUCAAACUAAAUUCUUUUGCAUCUUCAAAAACAAAAUCUUUACUUUAAUUUUAUAAUUACCAAAAGUAAUUUUCAAAUUAACAGAAUCUUUCAACAAAUUAUUUGUACUCCCGCUGAAGUAACGGUUAAGAACUAGUACAAUUCAUGUUCUUCUUGUUUAAUUUUCACCACACCUCCACAUAUAAAUUUGAGAAGCAGAUUGGAUGACAAUUUUUGAAGUCAAUUUUUGAAGCUAUGCAUGCAUCCAUCAAAACGGUGUCCAUUUACUCGUAAACUUUUCAAAGUCUUAUAAUUAAUUUCGUUGAAUUAAAUGAAUUGUAUGAUGCAAUUGCAGAGAAUCUCCAUCCAAUUGGAAACAUUUUCCAGACUACGUGUAUACAAUUAAUCCAUCGUUUGGAAUUUUGUACCUCAAUCAUACACGGAAUUUUGAAUUUAACGUCAUUGCCCAAUACAUGGAAUUUUGAUCUAUUCUUUUUUCUUGAAGGCAACACUUUUUGAUGUCACAUUAAUGUCAAAGAACGUCUUCAUUGGAGAGAGAAAUUUGGAUUAGCUGGAAAAAGUCAAAAAAGAAAAAAGAGUUUCAUACAUACAUGAUACAUCUCCUUUGGGAGAAACUAAUAGAGGUCAUCCAAUUAAGGUGUUUGUCACGCUACAUGUAACUCACUUUAUGUAUAAAUGCUUUUGAAUGCUCAAAUAUCUUAUUCUCAUGCUUUAGAAUUUGUUAUUCUCAUGGAAAACUCUUGUUUGGAUUGUAUUUUUUUGGAUUUUUUUAUUAAAAAAUUACUGUAACGAUUUGAUAUAUGUGAAAUAAAAAGAUGAUUGAAAAAUGUGUUUACGGAAUAUGUAGCAAUUUUUUUUUUGAAAUUGCUCUCCAAACAUUGAAAAAAAAAAAAAGAAAUUGCAGUGUAUUCCUCGCUACACAGUGUAUUCCUCGCUUCAUUUUUCUGGUGUUUGUUUAACUUUUGAAAUAUUUUCACUUUUAUCUCUAUCUUUACUUUCUACACAUUAUAACUACAUACUUCUUCUCAUGCAAAAUAAGAAAAUUUAUCUCAUUGUUUAACUUUAAAAAAUCUUGGAGAAAUGUAUAUAUGAAUAAAAAAUAUCUCCUUAAGUAAUAAACAAAUUGCUGGCCAUUUAGUAUCAAAUAUCAAUCACAUGCAAUGCUUAUUGUGACAUAUAUCUUGCACUCUCACUGCUGAAAGUUUUUCUAGAAAAGAAUGUCCAUAUUAUACAUAAUUAAUUACUAGCAUAGGAUGGGCAGGAUGAGGUUUUUUUUUUUAUUUUGAAUAUACUAGGGGAGGGUUGGGUUGGGUUGGGUGGUACGGGGGAGGAAGUGUAAGGAAGAGGUCUUGGGUUCAGUAAGUUUGGAAGGGAAGUUGUUUUCCAUAAGAUGAGUGAACAUAUUUUACAUAAUAAAAUGUUUUCAGUAACUUUUGUGCAACCAAACACGGGAAAUUAGGAAAAUAUUUUCACCCGAAACAAACGGACCCUACAUGUAACUCACUUUAUGUAUAAAUGCUUUUUGAAUGCUCAAAUAUCUUAUUCAACGAUGUAAACUUUUGAAUGAUCAAAUUUUAAUAAGGAACAAGUACAUAAAAAAAGAAAAAUCAAAGUCUGUACAAAUAUUUUUUUUUUUCACAAAGUGUGCACCAUUUUUGGUAACCAUCCAACACGCAUUGCGGACUUUUUUUUUUAAGUAUUAAUUUUGUCCCUCAUGCUUUAGAAUUUGUUAUUCUCAUGGAAAAUUCUUGUUUGGAUUGUAUUUUUCUGGAUUUUUUUUAUAGAAAAAUUACUGUAACGAUUUGAUAUAUGUGAAGUAAAAAGAUGAUUGAAAAAUAUGUUUACGGAAUAUGUAGCAAUUUUCCUUUGAAAUUGCUCUCCAAACAUUGAAAAAAAAAAAAGAAAUUGCUCUCCAAACAAGGCCUUAGAUCUUAACGUUGCUUACUUCUUUAACGUUGACCUAUCAACUUUAAGUUAUGUGACAAAUUUCCAAUCCUUUUAGUGAUUUUAUGCCAAACAAUUUUAAAUUAAUUUAGAUUACAAAAGAGAGGAUCGUAAAUCAAAAGGUCAAUUUCACAACUAAUUGUUCACUGAUUUUACGGCAAACAAUUUUAAAUUAAUUUAGAUUACAAAAGAGAGGAUCGUAAAUUGAAAAAUCAAUUUCACAACUAAUUGAUAGAGAAUCAAAAUUUCCAUGAAUUCAGCACAAAUUUUCCACAUGAUGGAUGGACUAGACCCAACACGUCGGUGAAAUUUCUACCCAACUUGGAGCAUUAUAUGUGGCCGUCGAGAUUUAUUUUGGCUUUCUUUGCUUCUCCUAAUUUUAAAUGUAUAUUUGAAAUUCUUGAUCUGUUUAUUUUUCUUUUAGCCUCAAUCUUUUUAUAGUUUGAAAACCACCCAAACUUUUUUGUUUAUUAAAAAUUUAUCAAGUCAGAAUAAAAAGAGUUUAUCGAGUCUCAUUGAAUGUGUUAAACAAGGUUUUCACGACAUAAAGAAGUACAUAUAUACACAACUAUAAAUUAAUGUUGUAUACAUUAUUACUGUAAAAAAAAAAAAAAUUUUCUAACAGGUGUAACUAUAUGAUAUAUGAGCAAAAAUUGAAUUUAAAAUUUAAACAGUGAUAAUAUGAUAUUUAUCUAAACCUACUUGUAUAAAAAAAAAAUUUAUACGCUCCAUAUAAACAAUGUAAAGAGUUUUCAUGAAACAAAGUCAAAAAAUUUUUUUAAUUGAAGAACAAUCGCAAGCUCAUCUACGUAGCAAAGUGUGUGGAGCCUAUUUUGUAAGUUAUCAAUUUUUGAUUGGUUUAUUCUUGGACAUGGAUUAAUCCAACCAUAAGUGUGUGGAUCCCAUAUUUUGCAUGUCAUCAAUUUUUGGUUGGUUUUAUUCUUGGACAUGGACCAGUCCAACCAGCCAUUAACUAAGCGGUCCAUACCAAUAAUUCUGGGUAAAUCUUUUUUUUUUUUUUUUUAGCAUGUGCUUUUUUUGAUGAAAAAGAUAGACACAUUUUAUUAAUGAUGUUACAGGAAAUCGUUCAUGAGUUGCUUGACAAAAUUUGGAAGGGAAUUUCAAAGAGCUUAAAAAAGAUUAGCACUCUUAGCAUGAUGGGUUAAAGUAUGAGCUGCCUUAAUUCGCUUCUCCUGGAAUCCAUUGAUUCAUUGAAUAUCAAUACAAAGCUGAUCUAAUAAUGCUAAAUGCACGUCCUCAAUAAUUGGACCUGAAUCAGACACGAUGUCUUCUUUGUCCUGUCUUCUUUGCCAUGAAUAAAUCUUAUAAUUGAGGCUGCAUCUCCCUGCAAUUUUGGAUCAUUUGUGGGCCUCAAAAUCAAAUAAUUCCAGGGAACAUCAGAAGUCAAUCGGAACGAAUAUCACAAUGGACUUGAUUGGAACGAAAAUGCCUCACCAAUCCCACAAUCCAUUCCAGUUGAAGUUAAGAUCAGCAAUAUCGUUAAUUAGCCCCUUAAGCUUUGUUUAAUCAUAGCUUACGCCUAUUGUCUUACAUCUGAAGCAGAUACUCUUUUGGUUUUUUCAUCUUAAGCAGAUACCAUUUGCUAUAUCGCAGUCAAUUAAAUAGUUAAACCAUUUGCUUGCUAGACUGACGAGGGAAAUUAACAAUAUAAACCACUGAACAGAAAAUCUUUUUUUUUUUUUUUUUAUAAUAAAAUAGAAUAAUUUUAUUAAUCAUGAGAUUGAAUCUACAACAAGUGCAGAACAAAUAAAAGAUGGAGGAGAGUUUCUCCAUAUACAAGAAUCUGAAAAAUUAAUAGCAUACUUAGCAAAGUUAUGAGCAGGAACAUUAAACAACCUAGAAAUCCACGAAACUUCCCAACACAUGAACUCUUGACAUAAGACAAUGGUAUCAUCAAUCAACAAGCCACAUGAUGAAUCAUCAGAUUCCAAACGGUUCAGCAUUUUGAUGACUUUUUGUGAAUCUCCUUCCAAAACCAUUUUAUUGAAACCCAAAGAUUGUAGUAAUUGAGCCGCAUGUUUGGCCGCAUAUGAUUCAACCACAUUUGGUUCCAAUAUCCCAAGAAUUUUCUUGGAGAGGCCAGCAAUGAAACUUCCUGUAUCAUCUCGAAUAAUAACACCAACUCCUGAUGAUUUAUCAUCCAUAAACACAGUUCCAUCAAAGUUUGCCUUAACAAAACCUGCAUUGGGUCGUAUCCAAUGACCUAUUGAUAACCUUGAUUGAAGAGAGGUAGACGUAUCGCACUUAUCUUUGGAAUUUGUUUCAUGGAAUUGAUUUAGGAAUGCUAUGGACAGGGAGACCAAGCUAAGAGGAUCUCUGUAGGGCCCAUCAAAGAUUGCUCCAUUUCGAUUAUUCCAUAAAUUCCAAAGAAUAACACCUACCAAUUCCAUCUCUUUGCUUGAUAGUUGCCAAAGCUGGUUGGGAAGCCAAGACGUAACCUGAUCAGCCGAUUGCAAUUGAACUUUCUGGCUUAAGAAACUAAGUGCCCACGAUUGCACAGCUACAGGACAAGUUAAGAAGGUAUGAUCAAUAUCAUCAACUGGAGCGAGACAUAAAGGGCAAGAUGUAUCUAAAUGGAGCCCUUUAGUAUUGAGUUUUGUGCUGGUUGGUAGUAUAUCUUUACAAGCCCUCCAUAAGAAAAUUUUAAUUUUCUCAGGAAGAUUCAAGUGCCAAAGCCGAGACCAAACACUGUGCUUUAGAGUACUACUACUUGAUGGCAAAUUCUCCCAAUUAGAAGAUCGCUGCUUGAUCAAGUGAUACGCACUCAUCAUAGUAAAAGAUCCAUUCUUUGAAAAGUGCCAAAUUAGCUUAUCUCUAUUGUGAGUGUCUCCAAUUGGAAUGCUUUGAAUUAACUCAAUCUCCUCGGGCCAAAAAAAUUCUUGCAAUAAGUCAACUCGCCAAAUCUUUCGCUCUUAAUCUAUUAGGCAAUCAACUGUGGAAUUCUCCGGCAAUGCAGUAGACCGCGACACGAUUUUAAAAGUAGAUGGCCGUGGAAGCUACCUAUCUUUCCAGAUUUUGAUAGACUGGCCAGAACCAACUCGCCAUCUGCUUCCUGCUUCAAUAUACUUCCUGACCUCACAUAGUCCGCGCCAAGACUAGGAAGGCCGUGAUCCUUCUUGAACUUGGAAGAAAUCAGUAUUUGGAAAAUAUUUAGUUUUAUAUACCCGAUGAAGAAGGAUAGAUGGUUGUGUAGCAAUACGACCACUGAACAGAAAAUCUAGCAUUUAUAUUAAAUAAAAGAAUUUUACUGAUGCAUAUUAUUUGCUGCAAUCCUUAAACCAUCCAAGCCUAAGAAUUUAAAAUAAAAGGUCUACAUGAAUAAAAUAAAAGAUUGGAGAUUAAAGAUGCUUUAGAAAAAAAAAAGGGGGUUAAUUUAAAGGACUAAAUGAACUACUUGCAAAUUUUUUUUGUCCUUCCAGGUUAAAUGAUUUGUCGUUAAUGGUAUUGAAAUAGUUAAAAAUUAAAAUUAUUGGGACUAAAUGUAUUUUCAUAAAACUUUAAAAGGAGAAAAUGGUGUAACCCCAUAAGUUAGAGGUAUAAAGUGUCAUCUUUUCCAUUUGUAAAAUUUUCAAUUGGUUUGCUGAUUUUCUGUCAAAUAUUUUUACAUUAAUUUGUUUUUCUAUAUGCUGACAAUACAUACUAUCAAAGUCGGAUACAUGACAACUGAUAUGAAUUUGAGUUUGAAAUAUAAAUAUUUUGCAUAUGUAGUAUGCAUCAAACUCCGUUAACGUAUACACUAUUCGGGUACAAAAGAUUAAUCAUAAUUUAAAUUUCAAACGAGAGUGUCGAAGUUGUAGGAUAACGUGAAUCAGCAAAUCAAUUUAACAACUAGCUGCUGCCAAGGAAUCAACAUUUCCAUUAGUUGAAUGCAGAAUAUGUCUCCACAAGAAUAUCUUGAUUUUCCACGGCGGGUCAUUGUCCAGUGCGUAGGACCCAAAAAAAUUCCAAUGGAAAGUUAUAGGUGACAAAUUUCAUAGAACCAAUGUAGAUGGGGAGGCAAAUUUCACACACACAAAUAUGCAUAGGGGAAGAGGAAUAAAUCAGUAAUAUAUUAUUAAUUACACAAAAUAAUAUGGUUCUCAAAUUUCAUUCUUCUCAACUAAUACUAAUAAUAAUAAGACUAGACUAGGUAAUUUGGUAAACAAGUCUUACAAUCACAAGAAAUUUUCUAAUAAAAUACUAAUUUCUAAACAAUAAAACUACUAUAAUUUAAAUCAAACAGAAUUACCAAAACCAUAACAUAAAAUAUUGCUAAAUAAUAAUAUGAAAAUUUCUAUUUUUUAACCUUGAUUUAACAUUGUCGGACACAACACGUUGUCAAGUUAUCUGCAUAACUUAAUCAAGUUUGUUUACUAGUCUUCUUGUCUAAAUGUCGCGUCAUCUUAAUCCAGAUCGGCAGAUUGAAUGACCAGAAUCAAGAUAUUAUCAGUUAAGUCAAGACAUUACUAGGUUGCCUAUCUAACCACCACCACGUUAGAAAAACAAAUUUUAGCAAAGUUAUUCUGUCUUCCAAUAACCCUUUAUCAUUUUUCUCCUAAGCAUAGUGUAUUUUGUUGCACGUUCGAUGACAAAUCGGAAACGAAUAUGCGAAUGCAAACAUAAACCAGAAUUAACUUGUAAAACAAAAGCUACUCACCUCAAAUUAUUGAUUUCAUGCUAGUCUUCGGAAUCCCAUUAUCUAUUUUUUCCAGUUCAUAUCACCAAUCUGUGAGUAUAUUUCCAAUUCAAUCCCUUUUGGAUCGUUUAUGUGUCCCAAUCAAAUAAUGCACCGGAUUUAGCCGUCAGAAUGAGCUUAGAUUAAAAUGCAAAUGCCUCGCCAACUCCAUGAUCCAUAUCCAUUAAAAGAGCUGAAGAUAAGAAAAGUAGAAGAAUAUUGUUAAUUUUGCAUCUUAAGUAGAUUGCUUUUCCUAUAUCGUAGUCAGUUAAAACACUUAAUCUUCACUGGCUCGACUUUUCCAUGAAGACUUUCCGGUCGUCGGCAUUUUAUCACUUUCAUGUAGUUCUUCAAACGCAGAAUGGUGAAAUGAUGCUUUUAAACGUGUUUAAAUGAAACUGCUAAUCUAACCAUACUUUGUCAAAUAAACCAAUAUCAAAAGAAAUCCAAUGGAGCAUCAUCUUCUUUGUACUCCUUCGUCUAUGCUAAUACUGUUGUUAUUCAGUUCUAUUCUUGUGACCAGCCAGUUCUCGUUUGGGAGCAGCAAACAAGCUUAUAAUUAUUCAAAUUUCUCUUGUAUUGAGAGUGAAUGACAAGCUCUUCUUCAAUUCAGAGAUGGGUUAACAGAUGAAUCAAAUCAUCUGUCAUCUUGGAUAGGAGAAAACUGUUGUUCAUGGAAAGGCGUUGGUUACCAUCAAAUCACUGACCGUCUGGUGAAAUUUGAUCUACACAAUGCGAGCCCGUUACGUUCAAAUGAUAUAUUUAUUUACUGAAAAAAUUGCUUGGGAGGCCAAUUAAGUCCAUUUUUGGUCAAUUUAACCAAUUUGCGACACCUAAAUUGAAGCUGGAAUAAUUUUUCAGGAAUCCAAGUUCCCACGUUCCUUGGAUUGUUGAAAAACUUGAGAUACUUAAAUCUCCUGAAUGCAGUGUUCGACGGUGAAAUUCUAGGCCAUCCAGGAAAUCUCUCAUGUUUACAGCAUUUAGAACUUGGAGGUGUAACUCCAUUCUCAAUAAAAAAAAAAUAGAGCUUAGAGAAUCCGUAAAAUAUUCAAUUUAUUUGGUGAUUUCUUGCAGGAAACUCCCAUGUUAAUUUAACUGCAAAAGAGAGGAUCAAAACUUAUUUGUGUAGCAACGUAAAUCAGUAAACAGUUCAUCAAUAUUAUGAUUGCCAAUGCGAUACUUGUCGCCUUCCUGUUACAAGUCUCUUUCCAACGGGGAAAACCUACAGCAUAAAUGUCCAAUUAAUUCAUAAAUCAGAAUUAACUUGUAAUUGCAAUUAUAAGCCGCUCGUCUCAAAUUCUGAUUAGUUUCGUCCUAUUCUUCAGAAUCCCAUUGGAUAAACUCUAUCAUUCCCAUCCAUACAAAGUUGUGUGCUUAGAUUUGCUUUCUCAUCUGAAUUACAGGUCAAUCCGCCGUCACAAUGGGACUUGAUUAGAACGCAAAUGCCUCACCAACCAUAUUCCCAUUGAAGUCACCGUAAUCCAUUCCCGUUGAAGUCAAGAUUAGCAAUAUCGUUAAUUAGCCCCUUCAGCUUUGUUUAAUCAUAGCUUACCAUUGUUGCUUUGUACAUCUUAAGCAGAUGCCUUUUACCAUAUCAUAGUCAAUUAAAUCGUUAAGAGUAAAACUGAUAGUGUAUAUAUCAUCGUCGUUGAAUGCAUGAUAUAUAAUUAAAAUUCAAAUUUUAAAUUCAAAUUUACAUUACUUAUCAUUCAUCCAAGGUUGGUUGACAGGAUAUAUUCCAUCAGUGUAUAAAAGGUUAACCCCAUAGUUAUAUCGUUUCCUUGCUAGACUGUCUGAUGAGGGAAAUUAACAAUAUAAUCCACGAAACAGAAAAGCUAGCACUUAUAUACAUAAAAAAAAUGAAACAGUAGAAGUUGUUUUGGUGGGGAGGGGUGUUGGGUGGGGGGGAGUGAGUGUUUAAGAAAGUUAGAAAAAAAGGGGAAAGAGUAAACAUAUCUAACAAAUAAACAUAAAUUGGAAGAAAGUAAAGGUCAGUUUCUGUUUUAACAAGAACAGUUAAAAUUUUGUUCACGCCCUUUAACGCCACUGAAGGAAGUAAGACAAGAGCAGCUUUGGUAAGAGAAAAAAAUAAAAGGGCUAAAUGGAUGAAAUCAAAGAUUGGAGAUUAAAGAUACUUUGGAUUAAAAAAAAAAGUUAAACUACUAAAUGAACUACUUGCAAAACUUUUUUUUCCCUUCCAAAUUAAUUGAUUUGUCAUUCAUGGUAUUGAAAUAGUUAAAAAUUAAAAAUAUAGUGAAUAACUAUAUUUUUCAAUUGGUUUUGUGAUUUUUUGUCAAGCAUUUUUAUAUUAAAGAAUCUUUUGUACAUUAAUAAUGGAUACUAUCAAGAUUGGAUGCAUGAUAACCGAUAAGAAUUUGAAUUUAAAAUCUAAGUUUUGCAAAUGCAACAAUCAUUAAACUCCAUUAUCCUCUAUAUUAUCAGUUUAUAAAAGAUUAAUCGUAAUUAAUUUAAAUUACAAAUGACAGCGUUGAAAUCGUGUGAUAACGUGAAUCAGCAAAUGAAUUUUACAACCAGCUGCUGAGGAAUGAACAUUUCCAUUAGUUGAGUGCAGAAUAAGUCUCCAAGGAGAUUUUUUUCCAGAAGAAUAUCUUGAUUUUCCACGGCGGAUCGGGACUUCCAUUGGCCAGUGGACUUGCAGUCGUCGGAUGCAACAGACGGUCAAGUUUUCUACGCAAAUUAAUCAUGUUUGUUUACUAGUCUUCUUAUUUAAAUUUCAUUUCAUCUAAAUCUAUAUCAGCAGAUUGAAUGACUAGACUCUUAAAAGAUAGGAAAAUAUUGUAGUAACUAUCGUUAUGGUAACUAAAUAAUUUUUUCCUGAUAUAACGGGUUAUUAUACUUUUAACGAUCAUUUGAUUACCUGUUGGACCUAUCCACCUAAAUAGGAUAAUGCCUAAAACUAAGGAAGUAAGUUUCUCAUCUAAAAUAGUAAGUUAACCAUAAUAAUUAGUAACUUUUGUGUCUCAAAAGGUAAAUUGGAAUAAAUAUAAAACUUACUUUUUAAAGAGAUAAAUUACUAUAUUAUAUCUCAAACAUACUUUUGAGAGAGUAAGUUUAGUUCAAGUAAUAGUAAGUUUUUAUACAUAAAUAGUAAUUCUUACUUAUAACAUAUUAAAUUUGAUUAAUGACCAAAACUUACUAAUUUAUGGCACAAAUGUACUAUUUGGCUUAAAAAACUUAUAACAAACCAAUACUAGGAAGUUUAUUUGAAAUAACAAUAAAAUGUUUUAUUAAUGAUUAAAUCUUAGUACCUUAGUUAGUAAGUACUCGUAAUAUACUUGUAUAAUACAUGAUUAUAUGUAUAAUUUAAAUUUUUUUGUAUUUAUAUAUUUUAAAAUACUAUGAAAAAUAUUUGGACCCUUCACAUAACCUUAUAAAAUAAUAAAAUUUUGUCGUAUUAUAAUUUUGAAUAAUUUUUGAAAAUUUUCAAAGUUUGGAUAAUAAUAACAACACAUCUUCCUAGUUAUAUAUGGAAUAUCACUUAUCUAUGUAAUUUCUAUAAUUUAAAACCUAUUAAUAUAAUAAGAUGACAAAGUUUUAAUAUAUUUAUUGUCUGGGACACAAGAAAUAAUAAGAAUUAAACUUGUAUUAAUAUAGACCUAACAAAAAGAGAGAAAUAGUGUAACAAUUAAUACAACAAUAAAAAUAACAUAAUUAGUAUAACAAAAUUAGUAUAAUCUGGAAUUUUUUUCUCUGGAGAUUACUCACGAAUAUAAGAUCCAACCACUAAACAAAAAUCACAUGCAUAUAUAAUCUAUUGUAUAAUUUAAAUUAAAUUUAGUUCAUGUACAAAAUGAUCCUAAAAUAAUUAGCACACUACAAUACCAUAUUAUUUUAACAAAAAAGUUUUUUUUUUGCCAAAAGUCUCCAAUAUCCAUGACAUAUGUAUGAGAGAUAUUUUACCAUAUUUUUAUCUCUCUUUUUUUCCCAUAUUUGUAUCUCAUGUCUAAUCAUUGAUGUUAAUUUGAGGAAGAAUAUUAUGUAUAAUAAAAUUAUUUUGAAUUUAAUUAACAAGUUGAGAUUUUUUUAAAAAUAAAAGUGAAAUAUUUUGGGAACUUAUUUUUUGUUUUCCCAAAAUUAAAAGAUUGCAAUUUUUUACAAAUUGUUGCCAUAACAUUUCAUUUUCUAGACUAAUUUUUAUCAAUGUAAAAUUAGUUUAGUUAACAAUAAUUGAAGUUUUGUUGGUCCGAGGAUUGGCAUGCUAUUGUUGUUAUUUUACAUGUAAAUAUAUUACCUAAGUAAUAAAAUAAACAAUAGCUACUUAAAAAAAGGAAAUAGGUGCUCAAUUGAUUGCAUUCAAACUACGAAUUCUGUUAAUGAAUAAUUGCUAAAUUAUAAUUUUAUUUACAAGGAAUCAAUAUGCAUCAUAUAUUGACCAGGACUAAAUUACUGAUUACUUAACAAAUUAUAUCUAAACACAUGAUGUGAUGUAUAUUGCAUUUGGUCACCUUUAUACUCAUACCAUUUUCUUUUCUUCCUAUUUAUAUUUUAAAAGUGCAAAAUUCUCUUGAUUAUAUUAGUGAAAAUGCAUAAAAUCUUUUACAAAAUUAUUUCAAUUUAUUUACAAAAUAUUAGUACUUUUAUAGAAACAAUGCAUUGUAGGAAUGGUUUACUAAUUUUUUAGUAAACAUAACUAUUGCAUUAAAAAGUUAAAAAAAACUUGAUUUUAUUAUGCUUUAAUUAGGAGUGCUUUUGAAGAAAAGAAUUUGGGGAUUAAUUUCUCUGAUUCAAGAAUUUUUAGAGAUUGUAAUGAUCAAAAGAAAAAGAAUUUUUAGAAAUUGUAACUCUCUUAUUAUUUGAUAUAAUAAAUUUGAUAUUUGUGCAAGUUUUCAUGUCUUUUUAUUUUCGGCAAUGAAAUUUGUGCUUACAGUUAAAUACAAUUAUGGUAAAAUAUCCCUCAUAUGUAUGUCAUGGAUAUUUGAGACUUUCAGUAAAAAAAUUUUUUGUUGUUCCGUUUGGAUUGGUUAUUUUUUUAAAAACAAGUUUUUCAAAUACAAUGUUAUGGUAAUACACAAUAACUCAAAAAAUAUCUUAUCCAUACAAUAUAUCAAAAAUUUCAAAAAAAAUUUUAUAGUAAAAAUUUUUCAUAUACAUUGUUACAGUAAAAUUUUUCAAAAACACCUCUAAAAACAGUUAAUCGAAACGGAUUAAUAUUAUAGUGCGCUAAUUAUUUUAGAACCGUUUUUUACGUGAACUGAAUUUAAUUUAAAUUAUACAAUAGAUUAUAUGUGCAAGUGAUUUUCAUUUAAUUGUUGGAUCUUUUUUUUUUAUGAACAAUCUCCCAAGGAAAAAAGUCCAGAUCAUACUGAUUUUCUUAUAUUAACUGUUAUACUAAUUUUGUCAUUUUUAUUGUUAUACUAUUUCUCAUUUUGUUUGGGUUUUAACUCUUAUUAAUUCUUGUGUCCCAGAUGUAAAUUUAUUAAAACUUUAUCAUCUUAUUAUAUUCAUAGGUGUUAAAUUAUAAAAAUUGUGAUAUACAAACAAGUGAUAUUCUAUAUUUAACUAGGAAGAUUUGUUGUUAUUGUUAUCCAAACUUUUAAACUUUUCAAAAAUUGAAAAUUGAAAAUGAUUAAAAACUUAUAAUAUGACAAAAUUUUAUUAUAUAUUUUACAAGAUUAUCUAAAAAAUGAAACUACUUUUCAUAGUAUUUUAAAAUAUAUAAAUACAAAAAAAUUUUAAAUUAUACAUAUAAUCAUUUAUUAUACAAGUAUAUUACGAGUACUUAAUAACUAAGGUACUAAGUUUUAAUUAUUAAUAAAACAUCUUAUCAUUAUUUCAAUUAAACUUCCUAAUACUAGUUUGAGAUAAGUUUUUAAUGUAAAAUUGUACAUGUAUUCCAAAAAUUAGUAAGUUUUGAUCAUUAAUCAAAUUUACCAUGUUAUUAGUAAAAAUUACUAUUAUGUAUAAAAACUUAUUGUUAGUUGAACUAAACUUACUCUCUAAAAAGUAAGUUUGGAAUAUAAAGUAGUAAUUUAUUUAUUUAAGAAAUAAGUUUAAUAUUUAUUCCAAUUUACCUUUUGAGGUAUAAAAAUUACUAAUCUAUUAAUGUUAACUUACUAUUUUAGAUGGGAAACUUACUUCCAUAUUUUUAGGUGUUAUCCUAUUUAGGUGGAUAGGUCCAAUAAGUAAUCAAAUGGUCGCCAAAAGUGCAACAACCUGUUAUAUUAGAUAAAAACUAUUUCGUUACCAUAACUAUCGUUACUAAAGCAUUGUCUUAUCAGCUCAAGUCAAGAUUAGCUUGUCUAUCUAGCCUACUCCAUUUUUAAUUUCAUGCUAGUCUUCGGACUCCCAUAAUCUAUCUUUCCAGUUCCUAUCACCCAUCUGUGAUUAUAUUUCCAAUUCAAUCUUUUUUCGAUCAUUUGUGGGUCCCAAUCAAAUAAUGCCUCACCAACUCCAUGGUCCAUACCCAUUAAAAAAGAAUAUCGUUAGCUAGCCUCUUGAGGUUGUUUAAUCACAAGAAAAGUAAAAAGGUUCUUUUGCAUCUUAUUGAGAUAAUUUUGUGUCCGUGACCCUAAACCCUAAGCCCUAAAAGAUCGUUAGCUAGCCUUUUGAGGUUGUUUAAUCACAAGAAAAGUAAAAAGGUUCUUUUGCAUCUUAUUGAGGUAAACUGGUGGAAUUACCUUAGAUUCUAUGUGCGUGUGUUUCUUUGCGCUGUUGAAAGAAAAAGGAAAAUAGGAGAGGAAUGUCAAUGUGAGUAUGGAUUCUUAGUCAAGGCUCUUAAGCUUCCUGCGUUCCCUUUCCCCCAACUCCUUGUUCCUACAUCGAUUAUGAGAGGUGUGUGUGUGUAGGAUUUAAGGUCCGUGAGUUUACCCAGAAGUCAGCAAUUGUAUUUUGGAUAAACUGGUGGAAUUACCUUAGAUUCUGUGUGCGUGUGUUUCUUUGCGCUGUUGAAAGAUAAUUUUGUGGAAAAAGUACUGUAACACUUUUUUGAUAUGAUGUAUGUGAGAUAAAAAGGUGAUUGAAAAAUAUAUUGAUGAUACAAACAAAUCAAUGUGUGUAAAUAAGGUAUAAAUAAAGUGUAAUUUUUUACAAUCCAAACACAUAUUGUAGAUAGUUAAAUACUUGAUUGUUUGCUGGCUCAACUUUUCCACCAAGACUUCCGGUCAUCACAUAGUUUCUUCCAACGCAAAAUGGUGAAAGUGAUGCUUUUAAACUUGUAUAAAUGAACCACUUCUCUGAGCAUACUUUAUCAUAUAGUUCAAUAUCAAAAGCAAUCCAAUGGAGCACUAUCUUCUUGGCACUUCUUUAUCUUUACUACUAGUAAUGUUCUUAUUCAGUUCUAUUCUCGUCACCAGCCAUUUUCCGUUUGGCUGCAGCAAACAAGCUUAUACUCAUUCAAAUGUCUCUUGUAUCGAGAGUGAACGACAAGCUUUUCUUCAAUUCAGAAAUGGGUUGAUAGAUGAAUCGAAUCAUCUGUCAUCUUGGAUAGGAGAAGACUGCUGUUCAUGGGAAGGUAUUGGUUGCCACAAAAACACUGGUCAUGUGGUGAAACUUGAUCUACAAAAUACGAAGCCGUUACACUCAAAUAAUGUAUUUACUUAUUGCAAAAAUUGCUUGGGAGGCCAAUUAAGUCCAUUUUUGGUCAAUUGGACCAAUUUGCAAUACCUGGACUUGAGCAAGAAUAAUUUUUCAGGAAUCCAAGUUCCCACAUUCCUUGGAUUGUUGAAAUACUUGAGAUACUUAAAUCUUGCAAAUGUAGUGUUUGACGGUGAAAUUGUAAUGGUACUAUUAGUUAUGAUCUGAAUAGGCUAAGAAGGUAGAAGGGUGUAGCAGAGAGAACGCAAGGAAGGGGGAAAAUUGUGAGAGAGAAGAGAGGAAAGGAUAGUGUGACAGGAAAGGAAGCUGAAUUUGUUAUAUCUCAUUACAUGCCUUUUCGUCCCCUUUAGGCUUUAUUUAUACAGAAUGCUCCCUCUAGAUCCUUCUGCAACUAGCCAAUCUCAUAACAGAAUGAGCAUACAUACAUGCAUGCCUUUGACAGCUAGCUGACUAACUAAAUAACGGAAAUGCUAACUAACUACCUGAAAAGGAAAGCAUGGCAGAUACAUUUCUGCUCAGAAAUAUCUAGCGAGAAUAUCUAGGGUCAUUACAACACCUCCCCCUUGAGAAUCCUAGUCACUAGGAUUUGAGCUGGAAAUCUGGAAACUGUGAUUGUAUUACCGUGACAUCCUCCCAAGUUGAGUCUUCAGUGCUUAGGUUCACCCAUUUGAUCAACACUUGAGUCACCUUCUGCCUUUUCCUUAUGAUUUCACGAGUAGCAAUCACCCUUUUAGGGGCAAUUUUAAUCUGUCCGUCCGUAGUCGUCAAGGGUAACUCCUGAGUCACAACAUGAUUCUUUGCAGAUGGUUUAAGCAGGGAGACAUGGAAGGUAGGAUGUAUCAAAGAACCAGCAGGUAAUUCCAGUCUGUAGGCCGCAUUCCCCACCUUCUGAAGGACCUUGUAAGGGCCAUAGUAUUUGGAAGAUAACUUCAGAUUUCUUCGGACUGCUACUGAAGUUUGUCUGUAAGGCUGCAAUUUCAAAUAAACCCAGUCUCCUACCUGAAAACUCCUUUCAAUUCUGUUUUUGUCAGCAAAUUGCUUCAUUCGAUUCUGAGCCUUGAUUAGAUUACCCCGCAGCAGUUCAUUCCAUUUCCUUCUAUCUCCUAGCCAUUGUUCCACAGCAGCUACAGGAGUCUCUAAGCCAUUGAGGCCUAAUUGCGAGGGUGGAUAACCAUACAGAGCCUGAAAAGGAGUCAUCUUUAAGGCUGUGUGAUGGUUGGUGUUGUACCACCAUUCAGUAGCUGUUAGUAAGGACUUCCAUUUGUGAGGCUGUUGGAAACAUAAACACCUCAAGUAUGUCUCUACACAUCUGUUCAGCCUUUCUGUCUGCCCGUCUGUCUGGGGGUGGUAGGCAGUGGAGUAAUGCAACUCAGUACUUAGCUUCCCAAACAACUCCUGCCAGAACAUGCUAGUGAACAGCCUGUCUCUGUCUAAUACAAUGCUCAGAGGUAAUCCGUGCAGUUUGUAGAUGUUAUCAAAGUAUAUGUUAGCUAUUGACUGUGCUGUAUACUUAGAGGGUAGUGCUAUUAGAUGACAAUACUUGGUGAACCUGUCGAUGACCACCAGUAUCCCUUCAUAUCCGUGAGAUUUGGGUAAUCCUUCUAUGAAGUCCAUUGAAAUAUGUUGCCAUGCUUGCUCAGGGAUAGGGAGGGGUUGCAGUAGACCUGGUGCCUUACAGUUUUCCACUUUGCUCCUUUUACAGAUAUCACAUUGCUGCACCCAUUCUUCUACCUUCCUUCUCAUUCCAGGCCAGAAGACUGGUCCCUUCAAUCUCUGAUAGGUUCCCAGAUAUCCUGAAUGACCCCCAAGGUGCGAGUCAUGGAAGCAGGCUAUCAACUUCUGUCUCAAGUUCCCCGAAGCUCCAAUGUAUACCCUGCCCUUAUACCUGAGCAAUCCCCCAACAAAAGAGUAAUUUGGGAGAGAAUCUGGUGUAAUAGUCAGGGUUUCCAUUAAUUUAGUCACUGCAUUAUCCCAUUGGUAGCUUUCCACAACUUCAGAUAGCCAUGCAGGUUUCAUGACUGAGAGACUGUGUGUAGAACUGUCCUCUUCAUAGUCUCUUCUGGACAGUGCAUCGGCCACAAGAUUUUCUUUUCCUUUCUUGUACUGUAUUUCAUAAUCCAAUCCUAACAAUUUAGUAAGCCACUUCUGCUGAAGGGGGGUAGUUAUCUUCUGCUCCAAUAGGUAUUUUAAGCUCUGGUGAUCUGUCUUGAUAAUGAAAUGAUUCCCUAACAAAUAAUGCCUCCACUUCGAUACAGCUGUGAUAAGGGAUAACAACUCUUUCUCAUAUAUUGAUAACCCCAAGUUCUUAGGCCCCAAGGCUUGACUGAGAUAAGCAAUAGGCCUUCCUUGCUGCAUGAGUACAGCUCCUAUAGCCUUAUGACUGGCAUCUGUUUCCAGAACAAAUGGUAAGGAAAAAUUAGGAAGUGCGAGGACAGGUGUGCUACGCAUCAGUUGUUUGAGUUUUUGGAAGGCUAGCUCAGUAUGUUCACUCCAGUGGAAAUUUUCUUUCUUCAGCAACUCCGUAAGUGGCUUGGCAAUGAUUCCAUAACCUCUCACGAACCUCCUGUAAUAGCCCGUAAGUCCCAAAAAUCCUCUCAAAGCCUUCACUGAUGUAGGUGCAGGCCAGUCCAUCAUGCUUUUGACUUUUGAGAGGUCUGCCUGUACUCCAUUACCACUGAUAAUGUGUCCCAAAUACUCCACUUGAGACUGUCCAAAGAUGCAUUUGGAAAGCUUGGCAAAUAGGGAGCAAGAUCUGAGUGUUUCUAGGACAGUUUUGAGGUGUGAAAGGUGAGUGUUUAGGUCCGAACUAUACACAAGGAUGUCAUCAAAAAAUACUAGCACAAAUUUUCUCAAGUAAGGUUCGAAUACACGGUUCAUCAGGCUUUGAAAGGUUGCUGGUGCGUUAGUAAGGCCAAAUGGCAUGACUGUGAAUUCAUAAAGUCCAAGGUGAGUUUUGAAGGCUGUUUUUGGAAUGUCAUUUAGGUACAUUUUGAUUUGAUGGUAACCAGCUCUUAGGUCGAUCUUAGUGAAGAGCUUAGCACCAUAUAGCUCAUCGAGUAAAUCAUCAAUGAUUGGUAUUGGAAAUUUAUCUUUGAUAAUCAGGUCAUUUAGUUGUCUGUAAUCAACACAGAAUCGCCAAGUUCCAUCUUGCUUUUUAACUAACAGAACUGGAGAUGCAAACGGACUAUGGCUGAGCUAAAUAAUGCCACUACUAAGCAUGUCUUUUACCUGUUUCUCUAUUUCAUUUUUCUGGUUGUGAGGAUACCUAUAAGGUGCUAACUUGAAUGGUUUGGCAUUUGGUACUAAAGGAAUUUGGUGGUCACAGUUUCUAGAAGGGGGAAGGGAUUUUGGCUCCCCAAAUACAUCCUUGUAGUCCGCAAUUAGAGCAUCUAGGGACUGUUGAAAAGUAAUAUCCAACUGAGUUACAGAGUGUACCUGAGUUCCACUCAUCCUCAGCCCGCAGGCCUGCUUCCAAAUUCUGGUGCUUAGUCCCUCCUUCUCAGCAUUGUCUCUAGGAAACUUAAGGACGGCCUCCUUAGACUCUCCUUGUAGCAAGAUCCUUUCCCCUUCCUUAUCAAAUGUCAUGUUCAACUGCCUGAAGUCAAAGGUGAUGGGGCUGUGUGCAGCCAUCCAAUCCACACCUAUGAUCAUAUCAUAAGGUUCUAAGUUAAUGAUAAACAUGUCAUGAGUGAAUGGUUUACCUUGCAUUUCCCAGUUCAUGUUUGGAAUCAUCCUACUACAGGUCAAAUACUCCCCAUUAGCCACCUUGACCUUGAAGGGCUUGAUAGACUUAACCAUCCCUGGAAAGAGUUGAGCCACAGUAUUUUUGACAAAGCUGUGAAUACUUCCCCCAUCCACCAAGAUUGACAGGGGGUUCCUUUGAACAGCCCCUGCAAUUUGAUGGUAUUGUAAGUCAUCUUCCCCGUCAGUGCAUGUAUUGCCAUUUCCACUCCUUUGGCUGACUGUGCCCCUUGGUACUCAAUUACCUCCCCUUCCUCCAGAUCCUCAGGCCUAUUUUCUACUGCGACAAGCAGAUGAAUCUCCUUCUGCCUACACUGGUGACCUGGACCAAACUUUUCUCCACACUUGUAGCAAAGAUGAUGUUCCCUUCUGUACUGCAGUUCUUCUGGUGUGAUUUUUUUGAAAUGUUGAGGUGUUUUUUUUGACAGCAUUGGCAAUGACAGGUUUGGUAGGUGCCACAGUUUGCUGAGCAGCAGCCUGUGUGGAGUUUCCCCAAGCCAUGGCCCUCUGAUGAGGUUUGUGCUUCCUGUGGUAGGCUUCAAAGGCAUUCUCCUGUAGUCUGGCUAACUCAAAGGCUUUGGAUAAUGUUCGAGGGUCGUGAGCUUUCACCAUGGAUCUCAAUUCAUCUGGCAGCCCACUCAAAAAAUAGGAAAUAUAGUAGUUUUCUGGAAGGUGUGGGGCUCGAAUCGUUACCUCUGAUAACAGCUCCUCAAAAUUUUCUUGAUAUGCUAGCACCGUGGAAGAGAGUUGCAACUUGUUGAAUUCCUCCACUGGAUCCAUCUGUCCUAAGGUUCCAAACCUCUUACACAGCUCUCCAGAAAACUCCAUCCAAUCUUUGUGUUACCCCUAGUAGACCUGAAUCCUUGAUACCACACUGCCGCUUUCUCCUCCAAGUGGAACUCUGCCAACUCCAUCCAUUGCUCCUUGGGAAUGUGCAGAAGCUGGCAAUAUUUCUGCAGUUUCCUGAUCCACUCCCUAGGAUUGUCUCCCCUAAAUGCUGGAAUUUCCAAUUUAGGCGUGCUAGCGAAGAAGGCACUCCUAGCAUUCCUUUCUCCUUGUUCUCUACUCCCCAGGUCUGAACUUCUAGAGUGACUUCCUUCUGGAGAUCCUAAUAUGCCUUUCUCUUGAUUUCCACGGUUCAAGUUGGAGAGCUGCUGCGAGAUGGCUGACAUGAAUGCAUCUAGCUUAUUGCCCAGCUCAACACUCACUGCAUCCAACCUAUCCUCCAUGCUCUGCUUGUCUGCUGCCAAGGAUUCCAGAAUUCCUUGAAUCUUGCUUUCUUGCCUGCGGAGCUGUUCCUCCAUCGUCUUCAUCCUUGUUCCAUCCGCCAUUGUGAUAUGUCGAUCUAAGCUUCCUAGUCCAAGGACCGGAAGCUCUGAUACCACUUGUAAUGGUACUAUUAGUUAUGAUCUGAAUAGGCUAAGAAGGUAGAAGGGUGUAGCAGAGAGAACGCAGGGAAGGGGAAAAAUUGUGAGAGAGAAGAGAGGAAAGGAUAGUGUGACAGGAAAGGAAGCUGAAUUUGUUAUAUCUCAUUACAUGCCUUUUCAUCCCCUUUAGGCUUUAUUUAUACAGAAUGCUCCCUCUAGAUCCUUCUGCAACUAGCCAAUCUCAUAACAGAAUGAGCAUGCAUACAUGCAUGCCUUUGACAGCUAGCUGACUAACUAAAUAACGGAAAUGCUAACUAACUACCUGAAAAGGAAAGCAUGGCAGAUACAUUUCUGCUCAGAAAUAUCUAGCGAGAAUAUCUAGGGUCAUUACAGAAAUUCCCCACCAUCUAGGAAAUCUCUCAUGUUUACGGCAUUUAGAACUUGGAGAUGUAACUCCCUCCUUAACAUGGAAUCGAUUGACAACGAAGGAUCUCGGCUGGAUUGUUGGGCUUUCUUCUUUAGAAGGCCUAAUCCUGUCUGAGGUGAAUCUCAGUGCCGCUAAAGAUGGUUUACAGACAAUUAACAUGCUUCCGUCACUAACAAGCUUCGAAUUGUCUGGUUGUGGACUUUUCAUCAAUCCUCAUCUUUCACAGGUCAAUUUCACAUCUCUUUCUUCCCAUGAACUCGGUGAAAGUAAUUUCAACAACUACACGGUCCCUCCUUGGCUCCAUAAUCUUACUGGUCUCCAUAAUCUUGGUCUUAGCUCUAAUCAUCUUUCCGGUCCAAUUCAUGGCCUAUUCGAACAAAUGACCUCUCUAGUUUAUCUCGAUCUAGGGGAAAACCGCUUUGAUGCAUCAACGUUGAUGUCACUUUGCAAUGUGAGCACUCUUAAUUAUUUGGAUCUGAGUUUUAAUGAUAUGCAAGGGUCGAUACCGAGUGAAAUAAGCCAACUUUCGAAGCUGCAAGUAUUGGAUAUUUCUUCCAACUCAUUAACUGGUGUAUUAUCUGAAGACCAUUUUGCAAAACUCGGAGAGCUAAAGUCGUUGAACCUAUCUGAAAACUUAUUCACUCUGAAUGUGAGCUCCUGGUGGGUUCCUCCUUUUCAACUCCGAGAAAUUAUGAUGUCACCCAUCAAAGUAGGCCCCCUAUUUCCAGUUUGGCUUCAAACGCAAAAGGAGGUUCAAAGUUUAGAGAUGCAGAAUGCAGGCAUUUCGGAUAGCAUACCCAGCUGGUUUGGAGUGCUUUGUUAUGAAAUUUAUAUUGUAGAUUUCUCCAACAACAACCUGACUUGGAAUCCGUUGGAGUUCAAACAAAUGAAGAAGAGUCCUCCUGAUGGUAAUUCUCCAAGCAUAGUUCUAAAGUCCAACAAAUUGGAUGGAUCUCUCAAAUCGUUUCCGUCUUAUAUUUAUGAAUUAGAUCUUUCACAAAAUUUUCUUACCGGACAUAUUCCAUUGCCUGAUGUUGGUCAAACUGUUGCAUCUACUCGUUUUCUCAUACUCUGUGAUAAUCAUUUCACAAGCAGUAUCCCGGAAGACUUGUGCAAAUUGGAAAAUUUAAAAUAUCUGGAUCUAUCCAACAAUUUUCUGUUCGGAAGAGUUCCUCUGUGUUUGGGAAAUUGGCUAGACCUGCGGGUCCUAAACUUGGCAAAUAAUAGUCUAUGCGGUCAAAUUCCGAGUUCACUAGGCAACUUGGGGUAACUUUGGAUUCUGCAUUUGAAUUGAAAUAAAUUCGUUGGGAAGCUCUUAUCCUCAAUGCAGCGCCUGAGAAAUUUACAAAUUCUUGAUCUCGGUGACAAUGGACUUACAGAUAUUAUACCAACAUGGAUUGGGGAAAGGUUAUCAAAUUUAAAGUUUCUAAGAUUUCAGUCAAAUAACUUCCAUGGAAUCAUUUCUGAUGAGCUCUGCCUAGUCUCACGUCUUCGUGCUGAACCUAGCGCAUAAUAAUUUAACAAGAUCUAUUCCUCAUUGUUUUAUCAACUUCUCAAUGAUGGUAUCAAGUGAACCAGGAACUGACCUAUCAAUGCAUGAACUCUUCGGUGCAAUCCCUAAAAGCUUAUCUGCUUUAAACUGGUUGAACUUCCUGAAUUUGUCACACAAUAAGCUAUCAGGGCCAAUACCAUCAGGGAAUCAAAUUUAGACCUUAACCGAUCCAUCUAUCUAUGAAGGAAACAUUGGACUCUGUGGCAAGCCACUCCCAAAUGACUGCCUGGAACAUAAAUUGCCUACGGAAAAUGGGCAUAUUCAUGAUGAUAUAGGCCACGCGAGUCUAAUUGGUCUUGGUUUUAUGCUGUCGGGCUAUUGGGAGUUUUGGGAAUCCUUCCGUUCAAGAAGUCAUGGCGCUAUGCAUACUUCAGGUUUCUGGAAAAUGCCUAUGACAAAAUUUACGUAAUGAUUGCAUUGAAGGCUAAUCAGCUGAGGAGGAAUUUCCAUUGAGUAAUACCCUGUAAAAGCACAUUUAUUCCGUUUUUCAUAUCACACAGUAGCAUACUCUCCUUGAGAAUUUGCAAAACUAUAGUAAUUUGUAGUAAAGAUUUGUUUUAUGCGUCCCAACUUGACCGAUUCUUAUUCAAUAAGAAAAUGAUAGCUUACUAGUUUUCUUUCUUUUUUUUUUUCAAGACAAAGAAGCUCAAUAAGUUAUAUCAACAAAAGAAUAACGCACCAAAAGCAGUAGAUGAUUCUAGCAUCAAAUCAGUAUCUUGCAAAGGAAAUUUUCCCAAUAAACUAUUACGUGAUUGAAGACCAGAAAUUUCCAUUCCUUAACUUUUGGAACUUUUUAUCUUAAAAACUAGGUACCAAAACCUUAGUUGCUUUCUCUAGAUUCUCUCUUUCUAUUGGCAAUUAUUUUUAGUCUCUCAAAAAUUUGAUUUCUAAUAAUUCUGCUCUAUUCUUCAUAUUUACAUUGCAUUUUCCUAUGUUUCUUUACAUUCCAUACUAUGAGAAUCUUAUUGAUUUUUAUUUACAACCGAUUAAAUAAUUAUUUUUCUGUUCGCAUUAGAAUGCAUUAAAUAUUCUAUAUCGAGCAAUUUAUAGGUUGUUUAUCUUGCUUACUGAUCUAAUUUUUGCGUCAACAGAUUUAAACGCUUUAGAAGAAUUCUAUACUUGUUUAUGCUAAUAAUUGAUUUAGUUGUUUAAUUUCUAAUUGAUAUGCAUUUGAUAGGUUGCGAUUUUAUCAUUUAUUUUAUUAUUAAUUUCCCUUAUUGCCUGAUCCGAUGUGGAUUAAUUACUGGAUUUAUUCACUUUUAGUAUUUUGCAUUUAUUUCAGGGAGUAGAAUGAAAAUAUGACAACAGGUGCUAAUUUGGCAGAAAAGGAAUCCAAAUGAUAGAGUUUAUCCUAGGGGUAUUUUUGAAAUAAAAAGAGACGCAAGACCUUUUUGAUAAUUUGGUCGAAGACAGCAGGAAAGAAAAGGGAGGAGCUGGAGUCUUCGGUUUGAAGACUGGGCCGCCGCACAGUAGCAGAGGCUACUUAGAUAGGAAUUAGAAUUAGAAUUGAAUUAGCACUACUGUGGAUAGAUAGCUUUUCUUUCGAGGAGCUAUGCCCCAUGCAUGUCAGGAGCAAAAUUGGGGAAAACUUUGACUUUUCUUCCUUUGAGCUUUUAGUAGUUGUUUUUCCUCCUUCGUACGGCAGACGAAGGGAAAACUACCAAUCACCUUUUGCAGCCUGCUAUCUUUUCAAUAUUCGGACGAAUUGAAUUUUUCCAAUCUCAAAGGACGAUGGCUGCUGCUUUCUCUUCAGUUUUGUAUGGUUUUUUCGCACCAAAUAUGAACUAAUUUCUUCACUUUAAUCAAGGAACAACGGAGGCUUUGGUUCGUCUAAAACUUGUGAGAUCGAUUUAAUUUUAUCUUUUUCUUUUAUUUAUUGGUAUUCGCAUAUCUCUUGAUUGCAUUGUUCAUGAUUAUUUAAUUAAUUGAUUGUCUUGAAUCCGGAUAAUCAGUUAACUUAAUAAUUUAUUGUCAAUUAGGGCAUUAAAUCCGUAAUUGUUUAAGUGCCUUGAAAUAGUGACAACUGGCACGAUUAGAUUCGUGUCAAAGGGAUACGCAAGCUAAUCUGAAAUAACCCCGGUAGUGCAUUAUUUGGUUAGAAUAUGGCUCCUCUAAUACGUAAGACAAUUAGAGAAUUGAAUCUUAUGGGCAUACCUAAGAUUAUUUCUCAAUUAGAGCAGUGAUUAAUGGGCGUACCUUAAUCACCGAUACAGUAAGGAGGGGUUGACUGGCAUCACUUGUUUGGUAGUUAUAACCUAUUUAUUAAUAAAUAAUUGGAAUUGCUUGUGCAUCGAUGAUCAAUUAGGUGAACCAUUGCUGAAGUUAUUUCUUGGCUAGACCUUUAAUUAUUGUUAAUAUAAUUUUAGUGAAUUGUCAUUUAAUUUCUAGCUAGCUAUUUAUUUUUAUUCUUAUUUGAAUUUCUUUGAUUGUCAUCGUUUAUACAAAAACACCCCCUGUGUUACUUUGGAUUUCUUAAGAGACAAAUAUCCCCAAUCCCUGAGGAUACGACCCUACUUGCCCUGUCUACAAAUUCAUAAUUAUUUGUGAAAAAAGCCAUCCCAUUCGAGUAUAUCGGAUCAACCAAACUCUUUGGGAACAGGGUGAAUCAAGUAACCCAUUGCACACCUAGAGUCCUUGCUCCAGUACUUGGAAUCAGAUUUUGGUUACUUUAACUGGCAAUUAGGUUUAAUUUUAUUAUUGUACAGGCUUCGACACCUGUCAACAUUCUAGCUUUUCUGCCAACAACUCUUAUGAAUUACCAACUAAUGAUUUUCAGGUAUUACAUUAAUUCUACCCACCUAAGUUUCACUCUCGAAACUUAAUUUGACCAAAUUAGCAUAAAAACAAACUGCCCUUCCAAUUAUAUCACUUUACAUGAACAAGUAUUAAUUAAACUACUAGUAUUUAAGGCACACACCAAUGUGUGUACACCUAAAACAAAGCAUAUUAUUAAAAUUUUGAGUAAAUUUGUUGAAAUCAUUUUCAAAGGAAUUAGUUUUAUAUUUUUGACAAUGGGUAUUGGAAAAUUCACGAAAAUAAGUGUACAAAUAGAUUGUUAUUUAGCAGUAAUCCAUAACCAUAAUCGAUAGUUGAUUACAUUGGGUAGCUAGCAAGGUAAGUUUAAAAAUAAUAUAAAAUGACAAAAUUUUAUGUAUACCAAAAGCCCUCUCCCCAUUUAUAUAUUUACAACAAAAGCUUACUCCACCUUUACAUAGAGCAUAGAUAUUAUUUAUUCAAGGACAAUUCAUGUCCCUCCUCUCCUUCCCCUCCUCGUUUUUUUGGUCAAUCGUCAACUCCUAUUACUACUCCUACUCUAACCAAUAUUAGGGAAUGAUCCAACUGGACCAAUGGGGCUGGAGAAAGAAGAUCUCACCUGUAUAUCAAAGAGGUUCACUAGACCAAAGAAGGGUUGGUUCAUGUUCAAAUCCGCUAUUCUUUUUACAAGGCCAUAGAAAUUUCAAACACCUGAUGCCCAUUACGUUUCCCUUGCGUCAACAUAAAUCCAAACAUCAAGAAGAAUUCCACUUAAUUAACCUUAUUUUCAUUUGAACUUUAGUUAUUUCUAAAGUGAUAAUCAUGUCUUACUAUUCAUUAAAGUAACCUACUAUCAAUAAAAACUCCACUAGUAAAUUCCGUGCUCUCAUUUUCUGAUUUGCCAGAUUCUUAGUUGCACCCCCAAUUUACUUCAUACUACAUGCCAUCACAGUGGAUCUAGAAAUAUUAUAGCAUAACCACCUAGAAAUAUCUUCAAGAUAUAAUCCUUUUCAAUAACAUCACCCACUCAUGAUUUUCAAUCUAGAAUUACCUGUAGUUUUAAGAUUCAAAUCAAGUGAUCAUAAAGCCAUGUGAGAAAAACUAAUGAACAUAAAUUAAAUUUCUAACUCAUCGAUUGCCAAUGGUCCUAUUAGAAACUAGUUCUUGCAAUCAAUAAUUGGUAGACAUGCAAUAAAAAUGUGUCCUAGGCCUCCUGAUCUUCUAAACAAACAUGUAAGAGCAGAAGGGUUUCAUGAACAUCCUCCCAAUGAGGAAUGUUAUAUGAACGGAUCCCAAUCACAAAUUAAAGAUUCGUGAAAAAAGAGAGAAACUCUAAAAAAUUGGGUAAUUCCAAUAAAGUUUGAUAAAAGUUGUUAAGAGAAUGAGAUAUUACUUAGGCCCUAUUUGGCAAAUAACUCCCAAUAAAUAUCUGGGUAAAACUUAGGCCUCGUUUGGCGAAUGAGUUUUUUGAGUGUUUAUCUAAAAUUUUACUGCAACUUACUGUAAAAAUUGUAGGAAAAAAUUUUAAAAUGAAAAUUUUUUUUCUUUUCUUUUUAUUUCUUUUUCUUUCUUUCUUUCUUUGUUCUUUUCUUUCCUUUCUUCUUCAUCUCCCUUCCCCGUCCCCUGCCACCUCUCGCUUCCAGUUGGAACAAGAAUUUUUUUUGCUCUUUUCUCUCACCCUCUCUUCUCUCUCCCCUCCCCUCUCGCCCCUUUUCCGGGUGCUUUCUAGUCGUGUGACCAGAUCGGGCAAAGGGGUAAGGGAAGGGUGGUGAGGGAGGGAGAAGGGGGGAGAGAAAUGGCGGGGAAGAGAGGAGGAGAGAGGGAGAGGAGAGAGAGAGAAAAAAAAAGAUCGGCCGACUCCGAGGUGGUGGUGGGUUGAGAUGGAAGGAGAAAGGAGGAAGAAAAUUUCUUUUGUGUGUUUUGGAUAUUUUGAAAUAUAUAGUUAAAGUUGUUAAAAAUUUGAUAGGAAACAAACUUAGCCAAAAAUUCGUUUGCCAAAUAGGCCAUUAGUUCUAGGAAUGCUUUGAAAAUCCUUGUUAGAGGGAUAGUGAAAUUCUUGUUAUCCAUUAAUAUCUGAGGUCAUGUUAUUCAAUAAUGGUAAUUGUGAAAAAAUUUUCUCUUUUUUGAUUGAUUUUUAUUCAUAAAUUCAAGCUAUUAUUCAAAUUAUAGUAAUUUAUUGAUGAAUUUGGAUUAUUUAUUGUUGAAUUUGGCUAGGUAUAAAGUUAAUUGAAGAUGCAUAAAAGUUUCAUAAAUAAGGCAGCCUGUUUCGACAUUGCUUUCAAUGAUGUGUGGAUUAUGUUUGUGAACUUUAAUGACACAAAGGGGCAAGCUACUCCUACUACUGCUACUUAUUUUGCAUUUGGGGAUGAGUCCCGCAUCUCGUGCUGGAGUUGAUACCGGUGUAGUAAAAUGGUAAUCCAAUAUGCAAUUAACGAAUUUUGUUCUAAAAGCUAUAUAUAACGGAAAUGUGUGAGAACCUGAGAAAAUUAUGUGUAUGCCCUAAAUUUAUUUCAUUUUAUUUACUUUGAUAUUAGAAAUAUUAUAUAUAACGAAUAAAUGGUUAAAUUAAAUGCCUAAUUGAAUCCUUAUGAAAUUGAGAAUUUAGAAAAUAUCCUAGAAUAGUGUAGAAAAAUUUUAUGAAUUAAAUAAAUAUAUGGCAUUCAUAUCGUAAUUUAUGUCAUUUGCAAAUAUUACUAGACACGAAACAUAUACUAUAUAGUUCAAUAGGUACAUGUCUAAUAAAUCCUUUUUAAAGCUAAAUGUGUGAAAAUCUACUAGAUCAACGUAAGAAAAUUUUUCACGAAAAUAAAAAUUAAGUUAAGAGUGAAUGUAUGAAAUAAUAAACUAAAGGACCAAUUUAACCAUUAAUGGAUGGACAAUUAACCAUGCAACCAAAAGAGGAAUUGAGCUUCUGGACAACCGAGGAACUUAGGCAAUCAAAUGCUUAAUUACUAGAGCGGUGAUUGAGAGAACACUAAGAAGAAAACAGCUCAAGUAGUAAGUAGCACCGACUGGGAAACAUUGACCACCGAGUGGACUGUUCCUUCUGAUUCUAGAGUCUUAUAAGCUGCUAAGUCCAAGCGGUGGCUGAAGGAAAAACCAAGAGAAAUCCACAGCCAAUAAUUUGCUAAGUCAAGCGGUAGAAGUGAGGAAACAAAUAGAAAGUGGCUUGCUAAGUUGGGCGGUGGCCGAGUGGAGAAGCGAGGCUUCAAUUCUUUUCUUACCAACCAAACACCAAGAGCAAAACUGAGAGACUAAGCCAUUUCUUUUCAUCUCAAGGCACAACCGAGAGAGAGGAAAAUAUUUCUGGUUCCUCCUUGUUCCAGUUUUCAACCGAGAGAGUGAGGGAGAGAGUUAGACAUUUGCUAGCUUUAUUUCUCCAGCUUGGAACCUCAAAACUCUGAGCCAAAGUGAGUGAGAGGGAGAAAAAUCCUGGUGGUAUACUUCACCUAACGGCCUCAACCGAAUGAGAGUGAAGUAGAUUGAAGAAAGAGUGAGAGUUGGUGCAAUUUUGAGGAACCGAAGCUCAACUUGGAGCCGUCUGCACUUGCUGAAUUCUAGAGGAAAGGAGUUCUUGUCCUUAGUUUAGCUACCCGAGAGACAUUAGGAGGAAAAGGAGAGAAGGACCAAAAGAAAGAAACAACAACAACAACUAGGAACUCAUUUCUGGCCACCUUCAACCGUGAGAACCAGCCACAAAGAAAGCAGGAAUGCAGUCUAUUGAGCUAAGAAUGGGAGAGAAAAACCAGAAUUUUAUUUUCCUAACUUAGAACCAUAAGAACCAGAGGUAAACUACUAUCUUUCUCUUCCAUUUCUUCUACGUUUAGCUAGUAGUCUUUUAGAAUGAAUUGAAACCAAGUAAAAGAAAAUUUUCUAGAAAACAAAGGUUGUCAAAGCUGGAAAUGUUCGUUUGAAGCUGCAUGUUCUCACUCUAAUGUUUAUAUGAUUGCAAGUUAGAUUUGAGUGUAAAAUGAAGAGAUUAUUAGAGGAAAUUUCAUACUUUUAAACUGCUAGCUGCUGAAACUCCUUCAUCUUGGCCGAGAGAACAAAAGAGAGUAUUCUCCAACUUUUCUCUUCAAACCUUGGCUAUAAAUUCUAUAUUGUGAUUCAAAACACCUCAUAGAAUAAUAAUUAUCACCUGGAUAUUAAGUUUGAAUGAGGAAAAUAAAGAAUUUUAUGGAGAAAACUUGUUUUCCAAACUACCUACUUGCUGGAAUUUUUCAACCUCAGCCGAGAGAGAUGGAAGGGAUAUUUUCUGAUAUUUCUCUAUAGAUUUUGGGCUGUAAACUUUCAUAUUAAGGUUGAUUACACCUUAUAAUAUCAUUAGAUGGUCAUGUAUGUGAAUUUUGGGGUGAAAAUGUGAUUUUUUAUGGCUGGAUUGUUGUUUGAAAGACUGUUAGGCUAAUAAACCAUUUACAGUUUAGUCAACGGAAUUUCUUGGCUUUGAAUGGAUAUUUUAGUAUAAAAUUUGCUGGAAAUGCUUGAUUUGUACUUGUUGCUGUGUUAUGAGUUUGUUGGUGAGUGAUUGGUGGAUGGAAAUAAAAUCUAAAUAGUUAAAAUGGAAGGGAAAGUUUGCUAUACCACCUACAGGAAUCAAAGGAGCCUUGUAACUUAUAUAAGAAGAUAUCCAUUUAUUACUUGGUUUAAUAGGCUCUAUAUAAAUUGUAUACACAUCUUAAGGUAAUAAACUAGUUAUGCAUGUGGUCUUGGUUAAUAACAGAAGGAAUUAUGUGACAAGAAAGUACUUUAAGGUUAGCUACUUCUAAACUUACCUUGUUAAACGUUAAUGUUGAGUUUUAGUACGAUAAAUCUAACAGUAUAAAAGUAGUGAAGUGACAUUACUGGAAUUGCUACUUAAACUUCCUUUCUUUUGGAAAUUAAAAGUUGAAGUAACAAGCGAGUGUGAGAAAAUGCACUAGUCAUCUCAUUUAAACAUAGCAAUGACUUAGAUUUCGGGUGGAAUGGUGACUUAAGGCUAGAAUACAACACGUAUGUUGAUUAUACUUUAGAAUUUCACCAAAUGAGUAGUUAAAUAAUUAUGGCAAUUAUAACUUGUCUCAGGAGACAGCGGUGCGCAAGAAAGCAAUUCUAAGAUCGAAGUGUAACUUUUGAUUAGGGUGAGUGUUUAAGAAUUUAUAUAUUUAACUGUUUAUGUUUAUUUAAGUGAAAUUAUGUGAUAAAUGUGCUUAUUAUGUAUAUUGCCAGUGAUUUAUUGUAAAGUGUAUCUCAAUUGUCCCUCGCCUUCUAAGUCGAGGGUGUACUUUAUCGCACUCGACUUAGUUGAACUUGAAGGUUGAUUAUUGACUAAAUGUUACUGUAAGUAUGUAUGAAUGUAAGCCGUAUGUGUACUUUAUCGCAUCGGCUGAACUGAGCCUCAAAACCCUCUGUUCAACAGAUUAUUCGAGCCAGCAAAGGGCUUGUUGGAUAGGACGGAAGCUUUGGGUAACUGUUUGGUAUACUCGGGUAUUACCCUGAAGUUGGGAGAUUAUUGAACUGAUUGCUGAAUGUAGGGGAUUGAUUAUUGUUUUGGAGGACAUAAGGAGGUGGAUUGGCGGAGUGUGCAAUAAUAUUGAAAUGAAUGUACAAUGACACUGAAAUGAGUGUGCAAUGAUAUUGAAAUGACACUGAAUUACUGAACGGAACUAAGUGCUACGUCUGGAACGAACGGGAACCACCUCUAGAGUCCGUAUCAAUACCGUAUCCUUUGAGGUGAUUGAUUACUUUUAUUAAAUUUGAUAUCCUGAAUUGUUAAGUUUGGUGAAUGUUUUAUACUGCUAAUUGGUUGUUGUAUCCUUUUGAAAGUGACAAUACAGUGAAAUGUGCAUUACUUGCUUAAUUUUACUAGUUAAGUGUUUAUUGAAUGUUACUUGUUCGGCAAACCUCACUAAGUUUUAGCUCAACCUUUUAGUUUUGUUUUCCUUACAAGAAUUGGUGGUCAGGGAAUGAACAAGGGAUCUUAAGGAGUUAACGUGAAGAAUUUUGUGAAUGUAAAUCCUUUAACAUCAAAUUAUGGUUGAGGCUAUUAUAUUGAACUUGGUAUUGUAAAAGAUUUGAGUAUUUGGUUUUGGUUUAUCGAAAUGUUAUCUCUGAAAUUAAUGUAAGUGAGUGAGUCCUGGCGAGAGUCAGGCAGAUGGUCCGCUAACUUCUAGGGUAUGCUCUAGGAGAAGGUGUGACGACCCCACCUCCCCUAAGGCGUACCAAAGGGUUCGGCGGACCGCCUGCCCAACUCUCGCCAGGACUCACUCACUCGUGUCUUACGCAUACAUCCAUAGACAAGAAAUAACAUUGCAAUUCAAACUUGUAAUAUACAUCGAUGCACAAACCCAGAUACAAGACAUCUAUACAUCCAAAAUACUUAAAAGUGUAUACAAUACAAGUACAACGCAUUCUAAGCGAAUGAUAGCGUGAGUACAACUCGAAAGUCAAAACAAUUAGUCUAAACUAGUCUGUACACGUCUCACGCCUCGCUCGUACCCCUGUAAGGAAAACAAAACUAAAGGAGGUUCCAAAUAUCAAAUUGUCCAGCAAAUAAAGUAACAGUGGCAUAAUGGUGAAAUAGCGAGCAAAACAAGUCAAGAAAUGAGUAAUAACACUUCAUAUAGCUAGACACGUAAUUUUUCCGCAUUUCACAUAUAAGAAUACAGUUGCUCAUAUAUCGACUCCACCAUAGCUUGAUCAAUUGGUAGUUGGCACUCCGUCAACUUUCAAGUGAGAAACUAGUCCAGUAGGUCACCACUUCACUCCAAUCUCCGUCCACCGAUCAAACCUCUUACUGGGCUCGAACUCCACAAUAAACACUGGUGGUAAUACUCGAGUAUACCGAUUAGUCGAGGAGAUAACACUCCACUCGACAACACUAGAUACCCAUGGUUCGUUAUCUAAUCGACCAAACCCUUGCCGGCUCGACUCGAUUAACUAGCCAAUGGGGUUUGGAUCCCCAAAAAAUCGAUGAGAUAACACUCCAAUCGAUUGAAUCAAGAUAAAAGUAUGGAGACGGGAAUGAGAGGUACCUCCCACUCGGAUCGAGUGUGGUACAUACUGCCGCUCAGUACUUACAAGUCACACACAAAUAUCUCAAAUCAAUUGCAACAAUAAACAAGUACAUAUCACGUUAGGGCAAGUGCGAUAAAGUACACCCUUGCCCGAUCAUACCAAUCACAUAUCAUUCGAUCACAUUGGUCAAGUAUUAAAAACAAGUAUCCAGUUCAAUCAGGUAUUUGGAAGUACUCACCAAAGAUGUAGUGCCUUUACGGAUCACGGUCAGGUAUUACUCCUUGUGUGGAGUUCAACUCUGCGAUAAAAUGUCAUUUAAGAACUUGAAAUCAAUUAGGGUUCAAGUUUUUUUUAAAGAAAAUCAAGUAAUUGAAACUCAUUUGGGGAAUAUUCGUAAAACUCAUGCUCGCUCUUAAAACUUUGAAAAUUUGAAGCGAUUAAACUUUGAAAUUCCCAUUUGAGUCGAAGAGAGGAGAAAAACGUAUUUCUAUUAGUCGUUACUUUUAUUUUUUCAAGGUUACAAGGUUCGGUCGAAUUCUAACUUAUAUACCACUAUGAGCGAAGACUUGAAUACCCUAGAUGAUUCGAGUUCAAUUCGACCUCAAAUCUUCGCUCAAACUGCGAGUAUACACGUCUCACUUUCGAGUGAAAAUUUGGGCAGCAUACCCCUUUGUAUUUAGCUAUUUUCCAGUCAUUUAUGGCUUCAUUAUUGUUCUCAAUUCAGCCCUAAAAUCACACGCAAAUAAUCUUACCACAAUAGCCUUUCACUAGGCUCAAUGUCAUCCACACACAAGACAAUUUUAGCAUGUAAGCUUCACUUGGAAAUUCGGAAAUGGUGGCCAAAAGCUAAGUACAAGUCUUGACCGCUUUAAUUAAGGUAACUUGUUAAAAGAGUAAAACUUUGAGGAAAUGAGAGAUACAUUAGCGAGAGAAGUUCAAUAGGGAUAUAUUUGAUGUCAAGGAAGUGGAAAAAUCAAGGUGAGGGGUUGGAAGUAGGCCGUCUGAGGUUUUAAAGUCAAGAAGCCCGUUUCUAUACUUCAGGAAUCUACUGAGAUGAAUAGUAACAGUAAACUUUAAAAAUUCGCAACUCGAGUUCCACAAAUCAAACAAUUAUCAAAGUUAUACUGUUGUAAAAUAGAUUUUUAGUACUAUCACAUCCCAGAAGACACUUUUCAGAGAUUCAAAUCACAAAUAGGCCAAAUAUUCGAUCCAAGUCAAAAAUUCAUUUUCCUGAAGAAACAGGACAUUCAAGCAGGACAGCCUACUUUGAGGAGUCACGGACAGCAGUACACAUGGAGGAAAAAUAUGAAAUUUUUACAAAACAAAGGCCCAUGAUUCUAGUUGCAAAUGCCACUGAUGACACCUCAAUCGGAUUUUUCUACACCAAGAUAUAAGCAUUUUACUGAGACUGGUCAGUGAAAUCCGAAAAUCUGGAAACUCAUUUUUCACUUGUGAAAAACUCCUUUUUCUCUUUUAAAACCACAAGACUUUUAUUCAAACCACCCAUACAUUUAAGUAUGACAUUCAUACCAGCAGUUUUAACAUAAUUUAAGCAUCAAAUUUCAACAGAAACCAAAGAAAUAUACAUAUAUUCCAAGUUUAAAGUCUUGUAAGAUGUUUAUACUAAGAUUAAAUCAUUUUCUAUCCAAUAUUCAAGGAUUAAGGCAAAUGAACUCUUCAUUUGUUCCAUUUAAGCUAAACCAGAUUCUAAGUUGUUUGUAGUUUGGGUUUUGUUCCACUACACCAGCCCCUCACAUUAAUAGUCUUUAAAAUAUUAAUGAACACAAUAUUAAAUCAUUAGAAGCCACUUUACGUAUAUAACUAUCAUAACUUUCCACUCAAUCGUGUUGGUUUAACCCUACUCGUGGAACUAGGUAUAUCCAUUAAAUCUGAGAACAAUCGUAGCUAUCAUUUAUGAAAGCUUGCAAGAUUGGAAAUUAGAAGAAAUGUUAGUUAAAAGUUGGUUUCCUCAGGGCCAUCAUCAAAACUGCAUGCAUGUGAAACAAAAGGAAAGGCAACGAGGAAGUCAGCUUUGCCAUCCUCUGGUAUUUCAAUCAUAACUAGAGCUAUGCUUAUCAGAUUGAGGCAAGCUUUAUAGCGUUUCGAAGCUAAGAUAUAUACCUACAUUUCUUAUGACGACACCAACACCCAAUUCUCAUAUUUUCAGGGUCAAAAAUGGCCGGACAGAAACACAUCCUGCUUCACUCUGUCGGACAGCAACCACAAAAUUAAUCCAGUACCGUUACUUCAACUUUUGUCAAAAACUCUAUUCUUUCACUUGCUUAAAGCUCUAAAUACUUAAGGUAUAUUCAGUCCAGCAUAUACAAGGUGAGUAACUCAUAAUUUCAGCAUGUUGUUCGGCCAAAAUCACACACAAAAUCUGUCAUCAGCUGUUGCAUCAUUCAACGAAGUUUUCCAGCAGUAUAACAGUUCAACUUUGAUGUUUUCUCAAAUAUUUCCUUUCAGGUUCAUGCUCCAACUAGAAGUAUAAAACAUAUCUUAUCAAGCUACAAAGUAGCCUUAAACAGAACAUAUGAGGUUUACAACUAAAAUUCGAAGGAAGAUUGAUUAAAAGUCCUUUUCUCUCUCUCUCUCUCUCGGCCUUCCUAGCCAGUUCCAUCAGCUUUAAUCAAAAUUUCACCAUUAGUUUUUCCAUUAUGCUCUCAAAUCUAACUUGCAAUCAUAUUAAACAUUAGACAGAUCAUAAUACGUGAGUUCCAGUCACAAUUUAGCAAACGUUUUAGAGAAAUAACCAAAAUUGCAGCUUUUCCCUCUCGAUUUGCUGUGCAGAAAAUUCCAGCUUUUGAGAUUGCUUUAAAGUCAAUCUUUUCUUGCUUUUAGCUCCUCAAAUAACACACGGAUGACUGGAUUAGGAAGAUGGCAGUUAUAUGAAGUGAGUUUUUAACUAAACUAACAAAAUUUUCUAGAGAUAAAGCUGGAAAUUUCCAGCUUCAUCUUAUUGAUCCUUCAUGUAGUGUCCAAACAGAAAUUCAGCAAAGUUUCUUCAUAUUUUACACUCAUUCCACUUGAGUUCAGGUCAAGUACUGCACCCAUGUCAAGAUAUGUAUACUAUGGAAUAUAUAUAAUGCAUGAAGACAUAAUCUAACACAUUUUGAAGGAGAAUUGACUAAAAAAUUGCAGCUUUUUAUCAUCGGGUAGCAUGCAAUAACUUUGAACAGAAUUUUCCAGCUUUGAAGAACUUUUAUCGGUGAAUUCCUUCCUUUCUCAGUUCUAGUUCAUCCCAAGGAAUUAUUAACCAGGCAUAGCAGGAAAAUGAAGAAGAGCUUAAUUAAUUACCUAUUGUCUCUUCACGGUUUAGACUGGAACAAGAUUUCUGGUUUUCUUUUGUUUCCCUCUCUCGAUUCCUUGGUUAAAUGAGCUGGAGUUUCUCUUGUUUCUUGGCUGGUGUUCAUGGUUGGAGAAGGUAAGAGAGGUCUCCGUUUUUCCUUCUUGUUGUUUCUCGAUUUUAGGCAACAGGGGAAGUGAAUGGAACCCUCUCGGUCACCGCCCAACUAGUGCACAAAUGAAUUUCUUAGCUCCUCUCAUUCGGUCAUCACCUCACGUAGCAAAUAAAUGGGCAGCUGUCUUAACAGGUACCGCACAAUCUAGAAGCCAAUUCCUACUGGUUUUCUCCCUUCCACCGCUUGGACUCAGCAGAUAAUUUCUCUUUAUUGUCUCUCUUUCGGUCACUACUUAUUCAGCAAAUUUGGUGAUGCAUUCCUUCCUGGCAGCUGUCUCAACUCACCGCCCCAGUCUCAGUUAAUUUCUACACUUCACCGCUUAGACAAGUAGAUGGUUGCUGGCUUCUAUUCGGUUCCUAUCAAUUAAAUUUUUAUUCCUCUCUCGGUUUUGGUCUUCUGAAUUCUGAUAGCUUAUGCCUUGGCCACCUGGUAGUUAGUCUAAAAUUUAAGGUUAGUUUGGUCUUUUAACUGUAGCUUAUUUGCUCACAACGGCCUGAUUUGUUUAUUUAUUUUUUUAUGAGUUCAUGCAUGGACUCGUACCUUCAUUUGUAUUUUCGUGGAAAAAUUUUGACACCUUUAGCUUUAAGAAAAAUUAUUAGACAUGUACCGAUUGAACUUCUAGUAUAGUUUACGUGACUAGUUGUAUUUGUUUGCAAAUAACAUACAUUACAAUAUGCAUGCCAUAUAUGUAUUUAAUUCAUAAAAUUUUUCUAUACUAUUCUAGAAUCUUUUCUAAAUUCUCAAUUCUAUAGAGAUUCAAUUAGGCCGUUAAUUUAAUCAUUUAUUCGUUAUACAUAAUAUUCCCAAUAUCAAAGUAAAUAAAUGAAAUAAAUUCAGGGCAUACGUAAUUUUUUUUUCCUGGGUCUUCACAGAAGGUGGGGCCGUCACAAAAUGAUUAUUCGUAAAGAAACUUAUUUAAAAGUUGAAAUUACCCUUGUUUUGAAACUCAAAUGGCUGAAGCGAACAAAAUGCAUAAACAUAAUAUGUAUGACACUCUAACCCCAUAUGAUUUUAUAUUUUACCAUGAAACCCCUUAUGAUUUAAUGUUUUAUCAUAUAAAUCCCUUAUGGCUUUCACUAUAUAUACAUAACCCCCUUAUAGUUAAUAAAUAAUUUUCAACUUUAUAUAGGGUAUUUUUUAUAUUUUAAUUGAUUCCAUUAUGGAUUGUAAAUUUCGUUAAUUUGACACUUUAAUUCAGACAAUAAGAGAGUUAUGUAUAACUUUUGAAAUCAUAAGAAGAUUAUGUAAAAAAAAAUAUUAAAUCAUAGGGGAGUAAAAUGUAAUUUAACUGUGUGCAGCAUCCAGCCCCUCUGGCUGCUGUCACUGGAUUGGGAGGAAUAUAGUAUGAAAGGCUGCAUGCACCGUCCAGCGUCUCUACCACUGUGGGUCAUGACUUUAAUUUCUUCACGGGUAGACUUGUAGUUGCCAGACUCAACACGAAACAAAGUUUGUACCCAAUUUCGAACGCUAUAUGGGCACGUCGAGAUAUUGAAUGCUGUUCAUUUACGAUUGUUUUGGUUACUCCAAAAUUUAAACGUGCAUUUGAAAUUCAUUAAAUAUCUGUUUACUCUUCUUUUAGCUUCAACCUUUUUAUAUAUUCAAAACCACCAAAAUGUUUUGCUUAUAUUUAAAAAAAAAAAAAAAAAAAAAAGAGAAGAGUUUAUCAAGUCUCAUUGAACGUAUUAAACAAGGUUUUUACCACAAAAAAAAAAAAAGAAAUAUAGCUGGAUCCAUGCAAAUAUCUGUAAAGGCUUUGUAAAGUAUGUGGAUCCUAUUCUAUAAGUAAUUAAAUUUUUUUUUUUUGGGUUAUUCUUGGAAAUAGACUACUGCAACCAGUUACUAUUUAAGUGGUCCAUGGCAGUAACUCUGAUACAAAUUGACAAAUGAAUACAUAUUUUUCAGGAACUUCAAGUCAUUGUCAUUUUAUCAGCAAUUUUCUACAAGCAUUUAGAACCAUAGAUGAUGCUUUAUCAGACGACCAAUACCAAAGGAAUUGAAUACGCAUCUCCUUAAUACUACUUCAUCAUUAUUAGCUGAUUGAUUUGGUAGUAGUAUUCCUGUCACUUUUGAUGCAUUAAAUAAGCUUAUUAAUCAAUUGUCGCUUGCGAGAAAGCUUGAUAAAAAAAAAAAAAAAAAAAUCAUCUCCAAAAACAAGUUGGCUAUGACAGGAAUGGGAGAGGGGCAAUGACAAUCGUCAGUUGAAUCGUUUCGAAACGAUGUAAAAGGGAAUCAACAGGCAAGUUAUCAAAUAUUUGUGAUAAACUCUUAAAACACACAUGUUAUAUACUUAAACUCUGUUCACGACGACCCUACAAGUUAGUUGAGUUAGAGUUACAUAUAUCGUUAUCUAUCUCACCUUUACAACAUGAAUUUUUAUGUUAUUGGCAAAAUCUGAGUCAUGAACCUUCCGAAACGUUCGUCAGUUUCGUGACAACCAUUUAGUCCGACAAAGACACUUGUCUUGUUGUAAAGUGAACUAGAAAAAUUACCUCGCAGUAUAUUUCUUAGAAGAAUAGACUAAGUACCAUCCGUUAGCCAACCACAAGUAUAGCAAUUGAAUCAAUUAUCCUGACUGAUUCUUAGACUGUUUAUUCCAACAAAUUGCCGAAUAAUGAUAUUAUGAAGUAUGUAACUGCUUUAUGCUGCUGAUACAUGUUUUCAUCGAGUGAUAAAAUUUGUUAUGUAUUCUGUAGUUAUUGUUGUAAUGAUUUCCACGAAGACUUCAAGUCAUUGUGCCUGUUUCAAGUCAUCGUGAGCCAUUGUUCCGAACCAUAGAGGUUCUUGCGUGAAUAUGUUUGUACUGGAGAACGAAUGUGUAUCUAAUGAUGAAACAUAGGACAACUGAAAGAAAAAAUACUUAUAAACAACGCAUUGUUUAUUUAUUUAUCAUUUUCGUCUCCGGCAUUAACAAGCAGGAGUACAUUUGAUUUCACCCCUCCUUCAGCAGAUAGCGAUCGAGAGGAACUGAUCAGGCAGCACGAGCAUAGGACCGUAGCAUGGACUGGAAAUUUACCUCGUGAUGAAGGUAGGGGAAAACCAUGAUGCCUCCAUAAACAGGAGAGUUCUUCAGAUAGGGAAGAACCUCAUAAACUAGCUCAUUAGGUGAGAUGAAACCGCCCUCAGGUGCGAUAGAAGAGUUUAUUGGUAUUCCCAGGAACAAUAGAUUAACGCCUGGAUAAUCAGACCAAUUGUCCCAGCUCCGGAAGAGGAGACUGGUAUCGUUUGGAGGCUUAAACUGACAAGAUGGGUUGUCGAAAAAUUCCACCCGCACCUGAUCAACGACACCAGUUCUGAUAGUUGUGUCAAGAGCAGGGUCAGGAAUAGGACAUUCCGCAGCUACGGCUAAGAUGACAUUUGGGUAUCCCUUAAGUGCCCGAGCAAGAUCAUCCAAGUAAGUCGUGUUUCCGCUGUGGAUGUGAAGCUCUACGCCAUCUAAAACAGCUGUGCCGAAUGGACGGUCGCUUGAUUCACCGCCUAAGUAAGUGUUCCAGACAAAGGCUGCCACUUCUUGCGCAUCUUCGACGGAAGAAAGCCUCGGUUGUCCUGCGAGAGAAAUAAACACUUUGGUCUGAUGUUUCUGGCAAGAUUCUAUGUCUGAUGAGCUCGGCAAAGGAUGAAUUAUGUUCAAUUCAGGCAUCUGGCCGCUGCCAAAAUCUUCCAGAAAGGCAAUAUUCACGUCGGUAGCGAAUUCUCGCCUGCAGAACUCAGCCAAACUUGAUGGUUCUUUAUGGCCUCGGCCCCAGUAUUGGACAAUUCCGGCAGCUUCGGAGGACCCAAUCAGAGAAGCAAUCAACAGGAAUGUUAUUGCUGAGAACAGUGGUUGCAAAGAGGCAGCCAUUUUUUUUCUCUUUCUUUUCAGUGAUUUUUGCAGCUUUGCUUUGGUGAGUUCACUUGCACAAUGACUGACCAUUUUAUAGAUGAGUUUAUCUCAAGUGGAUGUUCAGCAUCUAGAAUAUCCAAACAUCCGUACAACAAAACGUGAAUGGCACGAUUUCUCAUUUCUGCUCUCAAAAAGGUGAAUGGUAUUAUUUUUGUGUUUCAAUAUUGCUAGAGACUACCGUUGUGCUCGCCUAACCUCAUCCACAACUGGACGAAGAAAGAUCUUUUUCUUUCUUUUUUUUUUCUUUUGGGACAUUACAUGGCAGCUAGGGGGGGGGGGAGUGGAUCCUUGAGAUUAAUGGGAAUUGAAUCAUCAUUGAAUUAGACGAGUGGUCCAAACAUCCUCUAAAUUUUAGAAGAAAUUGCAUAUCAAAUGAUAAUUGAUGAAAGAUAAAAUUCGAACCUCGAUAAGAGAAAACUAGGAGUCUUGUUUGAAAUGUAAAAUUUUCAUGAACAUUCUUGAAGUAAAAAGAGUGCUCAAGUAGCCUACGAAAUCCUUCAACUAUGGUACAAUAAAGUGAAAUGGGUGCCUUUCAAUGUGCAAUAAUGGUAGGGGCAACUAUUCUUCUAACUGCUGCUUCAAAUGCAAUUUUUAAUUUACACUUUUUACCAUCUCUCUAUAUCUUUAAAAAUUAAAGUAACCUGCACAACAUGCCCUUACUAUGUGCACAAAUAUUCAUACCGAUGUGCAAAACUUUGGAAUGGUCCUAGUUGUAUAUAUUAGUAAUAGUAGAAAUGUAAAGUUCAAUACUUCCACCUCAAAAGUAACUGCAAAAUAUGUCAGUUGGAAUGAUCCCAUUUAAAGUUCAGAUCACCCCUUAUUUAAUUAUGUUAAGUUCUUAAUAUUUUCCCAUUCAAUCCUUCAUUCAACAGCGGUGAUGGUGCUGUGACGUUUGGUCUUAAGCAAGAAAAUUUUUUUCCUCGCCCUCAGUGUGAAUGUGACUCUCAUAUAUAAAUAAUCUCAUAGCAAAACAUGUUCUUACUGAUCGCAGAAGUGAAGCUUGUACACAGGAAUGUAUAGAUUCCAGUUACAUCCAACUAAUCACUGUUUAAGCAUACGAAUUAGCCAUCACGGGCUAAGACACAGAGGCAAUUCCAGUUGGUUCUAGAUAAAGGGAUCUUCCUCUAACCUGCUGUCACAUCCUUUACAGGAGCCAAGACAGCAGGAACUAUGUCCACAGCCGAGAUAUGUCUCUGCUGAAACAUAGCCAAAUUCCUUGCUGUCCAUAGCUAGUAUAGGCUCAAAACCCUCUUCUCUUUCUUUGCUUCUUAAAUUCCACCCUUCAAUCCUAUGCUACUCAUCCUAUUUUUUAAGAAUUUUAAUUUAUUUAUUUUUUAAAAAAAUUGAUUCAUGUCUUCUGUUUGGAUCCAUGUCUUUGCUGCUUUUAAUUCCUUAAUUUAACGUAGCCCCAAACACGGCAUAUAAUAGUCACUCUCUUAAUAAAUGCAAUUAAUUAAUCAUACCAAAUAUAACGUUUGGAUUAGGUAUUGUAGCACACCUUAGUUUUAUUCUGUUCCCUAUUUUACUUAGUUUCAAACAUGCCCUAUAAUAAUCAACCCUCUAAUGAUGCAAUUAAAUAAAUAUACCAAAAAUAUCUAUACAUAUUUGAAACUAAACAUAAUUGUAUCCAUAACAAUCAAUAUAAAAAAUUAACUAAAAAACAAUCUUUGACUAACAUAAACUAAUAAUCUAAGUUCUUGUCCUCCAAAGAAAUAACAAUAUUCCAAAUCAUAUAAGUUGAACAGCUUAGCAAAUUAGCAAAAUUGACUAACAAACACAACACAAGGUUACAAAAUAUUCAACAUUUCUGUAUUCUUUUUCUAACUAAAAUUUACAAAUCAUACCCAAAAAAAGAACUAAUCUAAGUUCCUAUCCUCUAAAGAUAUAACAAGAUUCCAAAUCAUAUAGUUGAACAAUUUACCGAAUUAGCAAAAUUGACUAAAAAAAUACAAAAAGAGAACAACAAAAUUUUCAAUAUAUUUUGUAGUGCUUUCCUAAAUAAAAUUUAAAAAUCAUACCCAAAACAUAAAAAAAAAUGAAAUAUACUUAUCAGAUACUUCAAUUAUUAGAAUCAUCAUG